CCCGAACCUGAGUGAGUCAGUGUUCAGCUGGCUGCAAGGGAACAGCUCCAAGUCUAUUUACUGGAGCCAAAUAAAAGUUAAACCUUGUUAUGUUAACACUUUAGCUGUUGCCCUGAGAUUUAUUAGACAAGUGAUGUCAAAGAGGCAGAAAUAAACACAACCUGAUACACACGUGAAAAAACCCACAGCACACCUCUGGACUCUGACAAUGAGAUCUGCAAUUGUCCUUCUCACGCUGCAAGUAAGUUUGAAUUCAUGUUUGCAAAUAGAUGCAUGAUUCUCAAAGUAUUUCUAAAACUCAGAUGGCAUGCACACUAUUAUCUGCCAUUGUAAUGUCCCUGGGUUGAUUGGCACCCAGGGUAGGGCCCCCCCUGCAUGGAUUUAUAAAAAGCAAAACUUGGGCAGUGGGUCAGAAUUCUGAUUUAUUGGCUUUCCUAAUUCCAAAUAGUUAAUCUGGCAUGAAAGGUGUUAAUUUUUUUAAUGUAGAAGAGUUUUAAUAUAUUGUUGGACGUUGUCUUACAUUCUGGCAGUUGUGAUGGUACAUCUGUGAGAAAUCUCCCCCCUUCACGUAUUUUUGAUAGCUACAAACACAGCUGUGUUGCUCGUAAAUGUUUGUGUGUGUUUCCGAAAAGGUCAGUUGUAUCAAACGCUUCCGAUUGCUGAUAUGGUUAUUUAGUUAUUUCUAAAAUGCUUUAGUAUAUUUCUUGUAUAAACUGUGUUUUUCAGCUUUGCUCUGUAUCCUACUUUUUAUAUAUAGUUUGGUGAGUAGCCGAGUUAUGUUGGUAAAAAGUCAAAAUAUAUAAUGAAAUUAUCACAUAUAACGGAACAUUGAAAACAAUAUACAUAUAUAUUAAUAUUGCACUAUUUGUAUCAGCUUGGCGAUAUUAGAUUAGGUUAUUAAAUCAUGCAAUAUUUUUGGAUACUUUUAUUGAACCAUAUGAUAUUUUUGUUAUGAAAAAUAUCUUUUGUGCGGUUACUAAACCAGGUCUUAUUUAAAAAAGAAAUCACAUAUCUUUUGCAAAAUGCAGUUUAUAUACCGCUCAUUUAUCUCGAAACUUCCUCCAAACUCAAUAUGAGGUAUACAUGCUUUGUAUAUAUUAACAGACUGUGAAGUAUGACAUAUUGAUCAAUGUUAUACAAUAAGUAACAUCCCCUGCUAUUUUUCUUUUUAGCUGCAAAGUAUGUACAUCACAUUUCAAUACAAGUGUUUCUGUUUUGCAUUGUUUUGGAAAAGUAUUCCUGUUUGAGUUCUGCUCGACUUGUACUUCUCAAUGGUAGCUAUAGGUAGUUUGCACAAUAAACAUACACUGAUAUUCGUCUGUGAGAAGCAAAAACUCUGCAUUUAAUGGCUCGCGUUGGCCGAUAUUGAUGAACUAUUUUUCCUUUUUACUAAAAGCCUGGUAGAGUCAUGUGGAAUCUGGCUCACUUAUAUCUUAGAUGACAAAGUGAGCCAUCACUUUUCUAGAGAAUUGGACCUAAUGUCUGAGACAGGUAGUGAGAGCAGUACGUCCCACUACAUGAUGGUGGAAGCAGUACGUUGGUAAAAGUUCUAAUACUCUAGCUCCUAUGAUUUUUUUUUUUUUUAAGAUUACGCAGUAUAUCUGAAAUUAAUAUUUUAUCUAUCUAACCAGGAUAUGUCCUUUAGCUUUGCACUUUAAAAUACAAUGUGUGACAUAUGCGUAAAAAGAACAUUUAAUUUUAACUGAGAAAACACAUCAGUAUUUUGAUAAUGAGUUAACACUAAUACAAACGCAGUUCAUGUGCCUUUUCCCCCCACACUAAUAUAAAAAGUACAUUAAAAAAUGAACAGUUAGUCAUUACAUUUAUUGGACAUGUAUGCUACGUUAUUGAAUUACGUUUUUUAUGACAGACCACUUAUAAGACUUUUUUCCCAGAUCAAGAUAGUUCUCACGUAUGAAAAAUCUGUUCAAAAAUGGUUUACAUGUUUUAAUUGACAAUUAACUUUGUACUAAACUGUUUAUUUUAACUUUUACUUCUUUAAAACAUUGUAGAUGCCGCAGUGGUGCAAAUGUAGCAUGAGUCCUUUAUAGGUCCAUGCGGUUUUACACCAACAGCUGAAUCACAGUCUAUUAUUGGGGGUAGUUAGUUAGGUAUUGAAAUCACAUGGACUCAGAGGAGAGCUGGCAAGGGGGGCAAAUGGGUAAUUGCCCCCAGACCAGUAUUAUAGAGUGGAUUGUGGGCUGCUAUCUUAUGGCCCAAUACUAAACUAUAUUAUGAACCCAAUUCUUUAAUUGUGAUUGUGUGUAUAGUUCUAGCAGCAUUAGUAUAAAAUGUUUAAUAAACAAUUAAUAGAGGAAGGGGAGUUUGCUGGUUUGGUCUCAACUGGAACUGUUUUCUUUCACUUGGACACACCUUCCUCAGGGUGAAAUUGUAUGCAUUGUUAAAGGCUUGUUUCAUGAAUUAUAACUGGAUUAUUUUUUAAACCACUAAUUCUGCUUAAGAAAAAAAUGUCAAAAAAGAGUUUAGUUGCUUUUUCAAUAUUUUACAACACUUAUGGUUACAUUUAGGUGCAAGUGGCAAUAACUUUGUCUAUGUGAGUUGCUGUGUCCCCCCCCCAGUGUGAGCUGCUGUGUUCCCUCCAGUGUGAGCUGCUGUGUUCCCUCCAGUGUGAGCUGCUGUGUUCCCCCCCAGUCUGAGCUGCUGUGUUCUCCCCCAGUGUGAGCUGCUGUGUUCUCCCCCAGUGUGAGCUGCUGUGUUCUCCCCCAGUGUGAGCUGCUAUGUUCCCUCCAGUGUGAGCUGCUGUGUUCCGUCUAGUGUGAGCUGCUGUGUUCCCUCCAGUGUGAGCUGCUGUGAUCCUCCCAGUGUGAGCUGCUGUGAUCCCCCCGGUGUGAGCUGCUAUGUUCUCCCCGGUGUGAGCUGCUGUGUUCCCUCCAGUGUGAGCUGCUGUGUUCCGUAUAGUGUGAGCUGCUGUGUUCCCCCAGCUGUGAGCUGCUGUGUCCCCCAGUGUAAGCUGCUGUGUUCCCAGUGUGAGCUGCUGUGUUCCCCUGCAGUGUGAGCUGCUGUGUUCCCCCCAGUGUGAGCUGCUGUGUUCCCCUCCAGUGUGAGCUGCUGUGUUCCCUCCAGUGUGAGCUGCUGUGUUCCUCCAGUGUGAGUGUGAGCUGCUGUGUUCCCCCAGUGUGAGCUGCUGUGUUCCCUCCAGUGUGAGCUGCUGUGUUCCCCCCAGUGUGAGCUGCUGUGUUCCCUCCAGUGUGAGCUGCUGUGUUCCCCCAGUGUGAGCUGCUGUGUUCCCCCCAGUGUGAGCUGCUGUAGUGUGAGCUGCUGUGUUCCCCCCAGUGUGAGCUGCUGUGUUCCCCCCAGUGUGAGUUGCUAGUGUGUGCUCCCCCAGUGUGAGCUGCUGUGUUCCCCCCCAGUGUGAGCUGCUGUGUUCCCCCCAGUGUGAGCUGCUGUGUUCCCCCCAGUUUGAGCUUCUGUGUUCCCUCCAGUGUGAGCUGCUGUGUUCCCCCCCCAGUGUGAGCUGCUGUAUUCUCUCCAGCAUGUGUUGCUGUGUUUCCUGAGUAUUCUACAGACAGCAGUCAAUCUGUAUAACUGUUUCGAUUACUGACAGCAGCAUGGUAACACUGUUUAGAGGAGGGUAUUGACCUUCACUCGUGGACAGAGAGUCUGAAGCCUGGGGGGGUAUAAAAAACCUCAAAAGUUGUUAAACUAAACUGUUAAAUCUUUGCAAAGUAGAAUGUAGUAAUAUACAAUGCACCGUAUAAAAGUAAAUUUUUCAUGAUAGCUUCCCUUUAUGGACCAGUUCCAUUCCUUGCUGUCAUCACAGCUUGGUCCCUAAAGGCCUUACACCGGCAUGGAAUUUCCUGCUUAUUUUGUGCUGGCAGCUCUAUAACACUGUGCUGACAUUAAAUGAGUGGGACAUUCCGUAUGGAAUGGGAUUAUUAAAGACCAGAUUGUUACAAUAGAUGAGCCUGUCGUUGGACCUUACGGCGUUAACAUUAUUAAUGACAUAUUUAUUCAAAUAUCUCUCCUGUGUCACCGUACUGACAAAACUAAGCCAACCCGUCUUACAAAGUGGGAAUAUAUAGCCCGUCUAUUAUGCCGGCAGGCAAAGCGUUAAACCUCACUACAAGCUCAAUAUGUUCAAAAUGUUUAUUUUUUUUCCAGCGAUCUGUUGAUUUUACUACAUGAAAACUUAGUUCUAUCACCGUUGAGGGGAGUAUAAUUAAGGCUCUUGUAAUUCUGAUAAUGUAUUUCUGAUUCGUUCUGGGUAGGUUUAUUUAUAGAGUUCACACACAAUAACAAAUAAAGUCUGUUUACUCAAAUUAGAAUGCACAUAAACACAUUCUGCUGGAGAAACCUUUGAAGAAUGACACAGUACAAAUAAAUAACCUGAUAUCAAAUAUUGCUUUUAAAAUUGAAAAACAUGGUUCAUGUUUAAAGUCUUUUUUCCUUUUUUUUUUUUAACGAGUCAGGAGAUGUACCAUUUUCAUUUCAAAUAAAAAAAGACAUAAAUGUAUUUAUAUAAAUGAUGUUAUCUAAUGUAUACAGGCACACAAAUCCUGUAUACAAUGUAGAGAAACAGAAGGGUGGUGUAGCGCCAAAUAUGUCCUUACAAAUACGUAUAACCACGAAAGUCGGAGCUGCAGUUAAGUUCACAAAAAGUGUGUGGGAAUUAUUUUGAUCAUCUUUCUCCAAUUGUAUUUCACAUACUACGCUAUUAGUUUUUCUCUAUUAUCCCACAUUUUUAAAGGACAUAUUUGGCGCUACACCACCCUUCUGUUUUCUCCUUUUUCUCUUCUGGACAAGAGAUUUCCCGCAUUUGGUAAUUGAGCUGCCUUUUGAACUGUACCAGAAAACUACAAGCGCUGAAUUCCCCCUCUGUUUUUACCUGUAUACAAUGUGUUUAUAAUCAGUUGUGCUGUGUUAUACAUCACAAUCACAACAGCUAUUUAAUUAACAAAAAGUAUUAACUCAGAAUACAAAAAUAUCGCUAGAUAAGAAAUUAUCUAGUGGUAAGAUCUUCAAAAGUGACUGAAUGAAAAAUCCUAAAAACAUACCUGCUAAGUGUCCCUGUUUAGGAGGGACAGUCCUUAUCUUGAGCCCAAAUCUCUCUUUUCAUCCUAACGUUCUGCUUUCUAAAAGUUGACAUUACAGCUAGCAGUAAUGUAUUUAAAAUACAAUAUAUUUGUUUACAUUUUUUCUGUCUAAAAGAGAUGCUCUGGUCUAGUUCUAAAUUAUAUUUUAAGCCUAAAUGUUUAGCAGUGUGUUAUGACAUCAAAAUGACAAGUAACAGCUCAACCCCUUGCCACACCUCCAGGCACACCAUCACAAAUCUGCCUGAUUAAAAAAAAUAUAUAUAUAUGAAAAUCACUGUUAAUGUACCUUGCUGCAACCUGAUUACAGAGAAGUCAUCAGUCCCGAUCCAUUUUGUCCAAUCAGAAAGCAAUCAGAAGCAUUUUGGACAGUUAAAUAUUAACAGAGGAGCCUUAAAUGAAUUCAUUUUUAUUGACUAUUUUGUAUACGCUCAAUAAAAUGUCCUAAUUAAAAUUUAGCUUACCUGUCUGAUGUCACCCCAGGGUUUAACCGGGUCACCAGAUUUGGAAGAUUGAGGUUGUGGUGAUCACGUUUUCAUCAGAGACAGAGUAUGGAAACACUGAAUAGGAUUCCCCAACCUCUUAUUAUUAAAGCGAUACCAUCGUGCUAGAAAUACAGUCUGCAUUCCAUACAUUAUACUUCUCUCUGGCCCCACCUGAAUCAUGCCCCCCAUGGGACUGUAAGGGUUAAAAACCCUAACUGUACUUACUUCUCCGACGUCACCCGAUGGGGGUGGGGGCUAAUACGCAUGGGCGGCGAGUGCUUUAGGCCCUCCACAUAGGAAAGCAUUGCUACCACGCUUUCCUAUGGGGUUUCUCUGACACUGGAUGUCCUCAGGCAGAGCGUGAAGACGUCCAGUGUCAGUUAGGUGACCUAAAGUCGCCUAGCAAGCAGGAAGUGCCUCUAGCGGCUGUCUUAUUGACAGCCACAAGAGCCGUCAUAGUCCUGUAAUGACAGGGACACUGCACUUAGACCACAAAUGAGCUAAAGUGGUCUGUGUGCCUAUAGUGUCCCUUUUAGGUACCACUUCACCCUCUACACCAAAAGGCCAUGAUAGGGCCAGAACUGCCAGACUGUAUAGAUUGUUUGCUGUAGUCCAGAUCUAGGAAGUAAAGUUGUUCUAGGAGCAGAGCACUCAUAUCACCAUAAUCCAUGAUCGAUUCUAUAAUCAGUUUUGAUUGCUUUGCGGAAUUUUGGUACACAUAAUAUACCAUAAAGCAGCCUCUGCCCUUGGAUUGUUAAAAUGUCCUUUUUUAUAUUUUAAUACUUCAUGGGUAAUCAGUGAUAAAUGUAUCCACUUUUUGUAUACCUGUACAUUUGCAAUUUAUUUAAAAAGAGCGAGAUUGGAAGUUGUCAAAUCAAGACCAAUAACGGUUAUUCAUGAAGCACAAAUUGUUUGCAAUCUGCCUAAAUGCUGGCUGAGCAUCUUGGGAAAUGCAAUUCACAAAAUAUGGAGUGCCAAGGUUAACCAUUAUUGGUCCAGGUACAUGCAUUUCAGCCACUCUCAUUCCUAAACUAAUGCUGGUACCAAGACUCACGAUGUAAAGGUAAUAUUUGCAGCAAUGGUUGGAAUGAUUUCUCCUGAUGUCCUAUAGGUGGAGAUAUUUGUCAUGACUCAUGAAUAGAACUUUCAGAAGAUAAUAAUCUCUGUUACAAGUGGGAAUUUAUCCCAGCAGUAAAAGCCUAGCCGAUAGAUGAUUUGCGGCGAUAAAAACAAGGUUUCCCACUGAGUGAGUUUAUAGAGCCUUCGUCUGCACAAAACAUUCUGUUUUACAAAUUACAACAUGCGGAUCCUUAAACUAACUCCUUUCUAGCUGGAGAUGAUUUUUGAAAAUCAUCAUAAGAAAUCAUUGCAAAACAGCAACUCAGAGAAUAAUGCAAUCCUGUAGAAUAAAAUCAUUCUGUUUUUGCAGGCUCAUGCUAAACUGUAAAUUUAUAACAGGUAUUUUUAAAGGUUUCUGGUGCAGACGGCUUAGGAGUGUUUUUUUUUCCUUUCAGUUUGCUAUGAUGCUAUUUGCAUUUUGGCAACAGAUUAAUUUGAAGUCAACAAAUAGUGUCCCCUCGCGGGUUUAGUAUUACACAAUGAGGUGAUAAGUGACGUUACGUACAUCUGCCCAAAAUAGCUAAACAAAACUAUUUUUCAGCGCUGUCUUACGGUUUAAUUUCCUACAUCUUUGUAACCCAGUGACUAAACUCCAAAAAAAGACUUUAAUUCUUCAUUUUAGUUCCUAUUGGAGACAGUUUGUCUUAAGCGUUAUUGUACAAGGUGGCCCAAAAUUUAAAGCAGGGUUUGAGGAAUCAAUAACAUUUUUUAUUAAUGAAAUUAUUUCAAUGAUAUUAAAUACAAUCAAUUCUUAACAUAUGGAAAUUUAUUUGACUAUGAACAGAAGAUUGAAUCUUUUAAUUGAACUCCAGAGCUCCUUGUAGUUGGGCUCUUGAUUGCGAUGUUCAUAACAUUAGUUAAUGUUUGAGGCUCUAGCUCUCAAAUUUCUGCACAGAUAUUCUCUGUGUUGUGCACGCGGUUUGUUCACGAUUUUCUAUUACAGGAUGUAACAUUUUUCAGUCAUAUCCCGAUAUAUCACACUAUAACUGUCAAAACACCACCAAGAUUCCACUAUUUCUUCAUGUUUUUCCUUUGUGAAAUUAACCAUGAUUGAUCUCCCAAGUCUCAGUUAUAAUAUGUACCUACAUCAGAAAAAUGUAACUACUAACCAAUAAGUUAUUUACCUUCUCUGAAUUUUGACCUAUCCUGUAUUUGUCUUUUAGUGUCCCACACUUUUGUUUUUGCCUCCAUUUUUCAUGAGCUGAACUCAAAGACCUAAGACUUUUUCUAUGUACAAAAAAGGCCUAUUUCUCUCAAAUAUUGUUCACAAAUCUGUCUAAAUCUGUUAGUGAGCACUUCUCCUUUGCCGAGAUAAUCCAUCCACCUCACAGGUGUGGCAUAUCAAGAUGCUGAUAGGACAGCAUGAUUAUUGCACAGAUGUGCCUUAGGCUGGCCACAAUAAAAGGCCACUCUAAAAUGUCUAGUACGAUUCAUUGUUUCCCUAUCAACAUUAGAAAAGUAUUGGGUUCUCCUGGUCUGUCCUCACAAAUGGAUCUUUUUAGAUGAAAUCCAGAAAAAGUACAUCUAAAAGAUUUGGUAUUACAGAAGGCCAGACAUUAUUAUUAUUAUUAUGAUAUUUAUAGAGUGCCGUCAAAUUCCGCAGCGCUUUACAAUAGGUGGACGAACAGACAUGUAGUUGUAACCAGACAAGUUGGACACACAGGAACAGAGGGGUUGAGGGCCUUGCUCAAUGAGCUUACAUGCUACAGGGAGUGGGGUAAAAUGACACAAAAAGGUAAGGAUAGUUUUCGACUAGUGACAGUUGCAGAAGAGGAAUCAGUCAGGAGCUAUUGACAGUUUAAUUGAUACGCUUUUAUGAAGAAGUGGGUUUUUAACAAUUUUUUGAAGGAGUGGAGACUGGGUGAGCAUCUAAUGGAGGAGAGAAGCGAGUUCCACAGGAACGGUGCAGCCCUCGAGAAAUCUUGAAGGCGAGCAUCAGAGGUGGGAGUACGGACAGAAGAUAGACGUAAGUCUUCAGCAGAUCGUAAGGGCCUAGACGGACAUACUUGUGUAUAAGGAAGGAUAGAUAGGUGGGAGCAGCAUUAUUUAGAGAUUUGAAAGCAAGAACCGGAAUUUUAAAUUGAGCUCUAUAUCUUAUAGGAAGCCAAUGCAGGGACUGACAGAAGGGUGGGGCAUGGGAGGUGCGGGCGGACAGGAAGAUUGAGCCUCGCUGCCGCAUUCAUUAUGGACUGUAACGGCGCAAGUUGGGAGCACGUAAGACCACUGAGAAGCAGAUUACAGUAGUCAAGGCGAGAAAGGACAGUGGAAUGGACCAACACCUUAGUCGCAUCUGGCGUUAAGUAGGGGCGGAUGCGCGCAAUGUUUUUGAGAUGGAAAUGACAGGAUUUGGCGAUAGAUUGAACAUGAGGCUUGAAGGAGAGGUCGGAGUCAAUAAGAACACCUAGCGAGCAUGUGUGGUGGAGGUGAUGGUAGCACCGUUGACUUGGAGGGAGACAGACACAGGAGUAACAACACUUGAGGGAAGAAAGACCAGAAUUUCAGUUUUGGUCAAGUUUAGUUUAAGGAAGUGGGCAGCCAUCCAGUUAGACACAGCAGUUCCCACUAGUCAAGAGGGACGGGGAGAGAUCAGGAGAGGACAGGUAGAUUUGCGUGUUAUCUGCAUAGAAAUUAUAUUGGAAGCCAAAGGAACUAAUGAGUUUACCAAGGGAGGCAGUAUAGAUGGAGAACAGUAGGGGACCAAGGACUGAACCUUGGGUGACACCAACAGACAUUCAAGUUAACGAGCCAAGCGUCCAAAUCAAUGGAUUUAAUCCCUGUAUUCAACUUGUUGGACCAUUACUUGACGAAUCUACAACCGGAUCAUCUAUUCUUGCUAUUCUAUGCGUGUAUUUUGGUGUGUAUAUAUGUACAGUAGGUAUGGGUAAUAGACAUAUGCACUUCGUUUUGUUUUGAAUUUAAGUGAAUUUGGCAAUUCAGAAGCAAAAGAAAUUCUAAAUUUCUUACAAACUGAAAUGAACAAAUUAGACAAAAUAAUUCUGAACGAUCUGAAGUUACUUUUUUUGAAACCAUUAAUUCUCAUUACGAUAGCAAAUUAAGGAGUUAUCUAUUAAGCAACUAAAAACACAAAAUUAAGAAAAGUACUUUUUUCCCAACUGUUUAGCAUAUUUUUCCUAAUUUGGUAUCCUUAUGUGGUAUUACCAUAAUAAAGGCUACAAAAUGAGGGACUCAACUAUGCAAAAUAAACAACAAAUCUAAGAAAACAUUUUUUUUCUUAAUUGUUCAGUUGUUUAUUAUUAUUAUUAUUAUUAUUAUUAUUACCAUUUAUAUUGCGCCAACAGAUUCUGUAGCGCUUCACAAUAUUAUGAGAGGGGGGAUUUAACUAUAAAUACGACAAUUACAAGAAAACUUACAGGAAUGAUAGGUUGAAGAGGACUCUGCUCAAAAGAGAGUACAGUCUAUAGAAGGUGGGGUAUAAAACACAUUAGGGGACACACAUUUAGUAGAUAGCUCCCUAAUUUGGUAUCCUUAUGUAGAAUUGCCCUUAAUUAUGUAAAUCCCACGUAAGGAUGUCAAUUAGGGAGCUAUGUACUGAUUAGCUGAAAUGUCAAAAUGAAAAAUAAAGCUCUUUCAGACAGCUGUUUAGUAGAUAGCUCCCUAAUGUUGUACCUUUAUGUGGGAUUACUAUUUUUAAGAUUGCCAAAUUAUGGGUUUAUCUGCUAAACAUCACCAUAAUUUGAUAACCUUUGGAAUAAUUGGGAAUAAUGGCUUCCACAUUUUGUUCCCGAAUUUUUGUAAUUAUCAUUUAAUUUUAAAGUGAUAGUUUCUGAAUUUCGGGCGCCCCGAAAGUGAAAAACUUAUGAACUGACACAAAUUUUUUUUCCCGUGCAUAUCUCUAGUAUAUAUUAAAACACAGAGCUUAUUCACUCCACAUCUGGCUGAAUUUAAAUAUAUAGAUUUAUUUGUGGAAUUAACAUGUAGUGAAAUCGACAAAAUUAACCAUGAAGAUCUCAUGGUUCAGCCUAGCAGCAAUAUCUCCCCACAAGAAAAAAACUCCCUUAAACGUCUUAAAGCGCUAGAUGAGGUGAUAUUUAAACCAUCUGAUAAAGGGGGUAACACAGUCAUCCUCAAUAAAUUGGAUAAUGUUUCGAUGGUACAUAAAUUAAUUGAGGAUAGUGACACAUAUGAGGUACUCAGUGGGGACCCCACCAAGAAAUACCUAGCGGAACUAAAAAAUAUCCUUGACACAGCUUUGUCCCUCUGCCUGAUCUCUAAGGAGGAAUAUAAUUUUAUAUUUGUUAAAAAUCCUGUAACUGCCACAUUCUAUGCUCUUCCAAACGUACACAAACAACAACCAGUAGUAAGUGGCAGACCUAUUGUCUCUGGCAGAGGUAACUUAACUCAAAAUGCUAGUCUAUAUGUAGACCAGAUCUUGAGGAAGCUUGUGUUUGAACUUCCCUCAUAUCAAAAGGACAGUAAGCAUACUUUGAAUAUCUUAGAAUAAAUUAAAAUUACUGGUGAUGCCAUCUUAUGCAGUCUCGACGUUGAGAGUCUAUAUAGCUCCAUACCACAUAAAGUGGGCUUGCAGCAUCUUAGAGCAUCUUUGGACAUGCACCCAGUAGUCUCAAUAAGACACAAUCAAUUUGUCCAGGAUCUAAUGAAGUUAAUUUUGACACACAACCAUUUCAUUUUUCAGGGCAAAUACUACCACCAGGUGAGAGGGACAGCUAUGGGGACGGCUUGUGCCCCCUCAUAUGCUAACCUCCUUCUGGGUUGGUGGGAAAGAACCAUGGUGUUUCAUGCCAAUAUGAAGAAGUAUACAAGACACAUCAAGUUAUGGAAAAGAUAUCUUGAUGAUGUCUUGAUUAUAUGGACAGACACUUCUGAUCUCUUUCUUGAAUUUGUCAAAAUUCUCAAUAUUAAUGACAUUAAUUUGAGACUGAUUUGCGAAAUUGGGAGAAAGACAAUUAACUUUCUGGACAUCACUAUCACUUUGACAGAUGAGGGGGACCUUGGAUCUACAUUGUUUCGCAAACCAACAGCGACUAAUAAUUUGCUGAAUUGGACAAGCUACCACACCUUCGAUGCAAUUGCUCUACUCUAGAAGAUUUCAAAAUAAAGGCCAAGACUUCACAAUAUAAGUUCAAACAAAAGGGGUACCCCAACAGAUGUAUCAAAAAUGCAUAUAAACGCGCAUUACUUGCAGACCGUAAAGAUCUUCUAGCUGAAGACCUUAAUUUAAAAUCACCACAAGAAAUCAUUAGGUGCAUAGAGAAUUUUGAUGCUGGCUGGCACCAAAUUAUGAUGAUUUUGGAAAGAUUCUUUCCCCUAUUGCACCAGUAUCCACAUUUACACAGCGUGAUUACAUCUCAUGCAUUCGUGACAGCAAGAAGGGGGCGCAAUAUUAAGGAUAUCCUGGUCCCCAGUCAUCUCAAUAAUACCCCUCAUAAACCAACAUGGCUGAAAUCUCAGGUCAUAGGUACAUAUCAGUGUGGCAGGUGUAAAGCCUGUAAAUUUAUACGUCGUCCAUCCAAAACUUUUCCAGAUUCAACAUACACCCAGGAAUUCAAUGUUAAAAACUUUUUUAAUUGCCAAUCCAAAGGCCUCGUAUAUUUACUUACAUGUUCCUGCAACAAACUAUAUGUGGGCAAAACAUCCCGCAACUUUAAGUUGAGAAUAAGGGAACAUAUCAACUCAGUGAACCCCAAAAGACUGAUAGACACCCCAGUCUCUAAACAUUUAAAAUUACAUCAUAGUGGUUCAUCGGAUGGGAUUAGAUUUUGUGGCAUUGAGAAGGUUACGCUGGGACCAAGGGGGGCGUGAUUUAGACAAAAAACUCUUACAAAGAGAUAGUUUUUGGAUAUAUAAGCUUAAAACUCUCUCACCACUUGGUCUCAACGAAGGUUUCUCAUAUACGUCCUUUAUUUUGGACUAAUGGAUAUUAGUUUUGCAUUACGGGGUCGUAAUGAAAGUCUAUUAUUUACACCAUGUGUAUAUAUAUAUAUAUUUAUAUAUGAUUGCACUCUAGAUAUGUAGAUUUAUAUAUAUGCCGAAUACACUUGUAAAUUAUAGAAGAUAGUAAUUAUAGUUAUUAUUUUUGAUUUAUUACUUAUUAUUUAUUAUUGAUUAUUAAUUUCUUAUUUUACUUAUUUUUACAUGAAUACCUAAAUUUGAGGUUCAUUGUUGCAUCCAGACAGGUACACAUGAACUAUAUACCAUUCAUAUGCAUUAUUGUAGAUCUGUGGCAGAGCUAUAAAAUGGGGGGAUGGGUCUGCGCCAAUAUGCACAAUAAAUAAUAAUAUUAAGUCCAAUAGGAUCUAUAUUGUCGUUUCCAAAGUUCUACUUUUUGCGAUAUCCAGAAGGUGUCAGUGACGUGAAGAGUAAUCCAAAUAUUGGAUUGACAGAGCUUAAUCCAGCUCUGGUGUGAAUGGCUUACAGCUGUAUUAUCACCGCUUGCAGGAUAUACGGCAAGUGUCCUCUUCUAUGUAGUCGCAGGUAACCAAGUUGGAAAUAAAAAUGGAAACAAUAAUGGUGCAGUAUGUUCCACAUGUGUAAUAAAAAAUAUAAAAUACAAUAGAUACACUCACAUUCGGUAGAGCUUCGGCUAGCUCUAGUUUGUUAGGCGUACAGCGGUAUCAUCCCCGCUUGUAGGAUAUAGGAUGAGUAAAUUGACGAGAAUAUCAGGAGCUCGGAGAGAAGAUAAAACAGCGAUAGUGCUCUCAAUAAAAUCUUGGUAAUAAAAUAAAAUAAUAAAAUAUACUCACAAUGUAUAGGGCAGGCUAACUGCUCUAUGUGACAGCGUAGGUGGUAUAAUCCCCACCUAGGAUUCUUUGGAGUAUAAUAUGCAGGAAAUAAAAGUAUAUAGUAUAAAAUGUAUAUAAAAUGUAUAUAAAAAGCCAGGUAAUAAUAAAAGAUGAUGGUUUAAACGUAAAAAAUGACCAAAAUCUUUUUAUUAACAGUAUAUAAAAACAGUAAAAAUAUCCAAACGCGUUUCGCCAGUAUAAGGCUUUAUCAAUGGAUAACAAAAAAAACAAAAAAACAGUGUAUCUAUUGUAUUUUAUAUUUUUUAUUACACGUAUGGAACAUACUGCACCAUUAUUGUUUCCAUUUUUAUUUCCAACUUGGUUACCUGCCACUACAUAGAAGAGGACACUUGCCGUAUAUCCUGCAAGCAGGGAUAAUACCGCUGUAAGCCAUUCACACCAGAGCUGGAUUAAGCUCUGUCAACUGUAAGUAAGAACUCUUCUAUUUUCACAUAUUUGGAUUACUCUUCACGUCACUGACACCUUUUGGAUAUCGCAAAAAGUAGAACUUUGGAAACAACAAUAUAGAUCCUAUUGGACUUAAUAUUAUUAUUUAUUGUGCACAUUGGCACAGACCCAUCCCCCCAUUUUCCUGCUUUUGCCUGUUGAUUUCCAGGGACAUUAGAGGGAGUCCCUGUUCGGGACUGCUGCCUUCCUGAUUAGAGCUGACUCUACUCCUUGUUUUGUUAUCCUGUGGCAGAGCUUCCCCUAGUCUUUUCUACCCCUUUGUGGAGACACCACAAGAGGUAGAUAGACCACCAAUAUGAGACCUAUAUAGAUAAGUCACUUCUAUAAUAAUCUCCCAUUACAUUCAUUGGAAUUGGAUACUGGAUGGCUAAUGAGUACACUUAGUUACUUAGUUUGUGAUAUUUUUCCCUUAGGGUGUACUUGCAGCUAGGUAUGGGAAGCAUGGGGCACCAUUAUAUUACAUUUUAUAUGGUUUGGCUGCCUGUAGAUGAUGAGAUUUAAAAUCCAUUGGAUUACCAGUUCGGUCUCAACAUGUCUAUCUUGCCCAUCGUCUCUAACUAUCACUCCAACUAUAAUUGGCUCCGCCCUCCUUUAGUCUACUCGCACGGAGCAUUCAGAGAUACCCACCCACCUCAUAAUAGAGGAUACAGGUUGGGUUUGACUCUGCGUCCUUUGGCCACUCCCCCUAUUUACACCAUGUGGUCUGGGACCUCGCACACCGAUCGGAUCUAGUUACUGAUAUCAUGCACACAUGUGGGACACUCCUCCUGGAUUCCAUUGGACACAGGUACUCAUGGUUUAUGGCGUUUAAACGAUUUAAGAGAGACCUUAUCAUUACUCUGUUGUCCCCUGACGAAGGUGCAUUAUACAAGGCACCGAAACGCGCGUCGGGCGUUUUUUCUUAUUUUUAGCUAUGAGCACUGGGCACUUGUGGAUUGAGCACUAUGAUUUUUAUUUGAUUUAUUGAUUUUUUUUUAAUUUUCACUUAUCUAUCCUUUGCUUCUAUGCCUGUCUAGUUAGCUUACCAGGGAGAGGGGCUUUUAAUUCACCUUGUCAGUGUUUUAGUCACUGACUUUCUCACUAUAUACUGCAUUCUCUCCCUAUACUAUACUAUGGACAAUACUCUUUUCUCAAAGCUCUGUCUGCAAUUUAUCUCUCUAUAAGCUGAUUCAAGAUUGAGGGUUGGGGACUGUGCCUAGAUCAAUAUUACACUCUAUUAUUGACAAGAGAUGUUUUUUAUUACAAGCACAGUACCUUUAUCCAUAAGAUAUGGCAGAGUAGUAUUAAGAGCUAACCUGGAGAUAGCCCAGCGUUAGGGAAUUGUUUUGGGAUUGAUCCCUUCCUAUGUAGCCUAUACACCUGUUAAUAAAGCUGAAAUUUAGGAUUGGGUAUCAUACCUUUAUACGGAUUUGGAUUGUUUCCCCACCUGGUGUCUAUUUCUGGCUUGCAUAUUAGCAUAUGUAUCACUUGUAUAUACUUUGGUUUAUUUUAUUUUGUUUAGGUCUCAAUAAUACAAGAUUAUAAAUUUUUUUAUGCCAAUAUACAGUAAUAACUAUGCAACUAUAUACAUAUAUCCAGGGGAUGCAGCUGAUCUCGGAGAUUUGUAUGCACUGAGACUAGUAGCAUCUACUUUCUGUUUGUUUUUUGUACUUUACAUACAUUGGGGUUAAGCCCCUUGAGACCCCUGGAGUCUCUCUGCGGUACUUAAGAUAUUGGGUCAGACCUGUCACUAUCCCAUUUUUUUUGGGUUGUGUGUAUGGGAAUAUACCCAUAUUCUUAUUUUCAGUUUUCUAUAUUAAAACACAGACUACUUAUCAUGUUGUCAGAGAAAUUAAUAAUUCACCACAAUCAAUAUCUAUUCUAGAGCCGGAAUGUUGUUGAUUGUGUAUUGGGUUCCUUGUUGCCAUCUCAUAAAUGUAAUUGAUCUAUCGGUCUGUCAUACACUACUCCAUACAGAGUCUACUGGUGUCCUCACGGCCUACAAAUUCCAUGCAAUCAGACUAUUUCUGUUCUACGAAGAGCAUGCGAAAGGCGAUGCCUUCGUUUAGCUUGAAACUGCUUUGAACUGGACCCCCCUCACCUUUUGUUCCUCUAUGUUUAAAUUUGAUCUCUCACUAAAUGCCUGUAUGUUUAAUCCGGUUACAUCAUCAGAACCCGCAUGCUGUGUUGUGCCUUUUUAUUGUGUGCAUUGUGGGAUACGCUGGCACUCUAUAAAUAACAUUGCAAUAAUAAUUCUGCUUUCGCAACCUUUACCAAAUAUUUUUUUCUAAAGCUUUGGAUUAACACUUUAAGUCCCAGGGAGCAUGCAUUGUCUAUCGUCUAUUACUAGAGAGAAACGACGCUGCUCCUUUAAAGCUGUCUCAACAUCCUGAAUUUCAUCCUGUUGUGCAAGACAUAGGAAACACAUAGGGGUUUAAUGUUAUUUUAUAUUUUAUUUGCAGAUGUUUUUAAAAAAGAAAAAUUUGAUAGAGUUAGGCCACCCAGGGAACUUAACUUUGCUGUCAAGAGGGUUCGGAUGGUGACGUCCCUUCAAGACUGCAUUUAGAGCUUGACUUUCAUGUGAUUAUGUGAGUCCAUUUUACAGAAAAAGAAUGGAUUUGGUGAGCACACCCGGACAUGCUUUUCUCAGUAGUGGUACUGCUGUAAGGACCGAAAUCUAUACAAAAUACAGAUAAAGGAACAGCACACACACAAAAAAUGCAGUUUUAAAUUUUACAAUGCUGAUUAAAAUCACUUAUCUUAACAAACAAAUAUGGGUAUUCAGUUACACCGUAUGGUCAUAUCGUGUUAAGCUCACCACUACAUCACAGUACCUCAAUAUAGGUGGGUCCUGAACUAAUUUUAACAUGAGAGAUUAAUAUGCUGACUGCAAUACUUACUGCGACUCGUCAAUUCAUGUUUCCUGGUCAAUGCCAAAGGGGCACCCAUAGUGGGUGGGAAGGGUGCUCAGCCAAAAGGAAUCUGGUCUGCAUCCCAAAUAUACUCUGAAAAAAUGGGGAUCCGGGGCACACCUGGAACAUGCAUUUCUAAGUAGUGGUGCUGCCGUAAGGACCAAAAUCUAUACAAAAUGGAGUUAAAGGAACAUUAACCCCUACACUACCCUAACAUUAACCAUUUCACUACCAUGACAGUAACCAUAAACUCCUACACUACCCUAACAUUAACCCCAUACACUACCUUAACAUUAACCAUUUCACUACCAUGACAGUAACCAUAAACUCCUACACUACCCUAACAUUAACCCCAUACACUACCUUAAUAUUAACCAUUUCACUACCAUGACAGUAACCAUUAACUCCUACACUACCUUAACAUUAACCAUUUCACUACCAUGACAGUAACCAUUAACUCCUACACUACCCUAACAUUAACCCCUACACUAUCGUAACACAUUAACUCCUACACUAUCCUAACAUUAACCACUUCACUACCCUCACAUUAAACCCUACAAUACCCAAACACUAACUGCUACACUACCCUAACUCUCCCCAUAAACCCCUACUCUACCCAAACCUUAACUUCUACACUACCCAAACAUUAACACUAACCCCUACACUACCCUAACAUUAAUCCCUACACUGUCCAAAUACUAACUGCUACACUGCCCUAAUUCUCACCAUUAACCCCUACUCUCCCAAACCUUAACUUCUACACUACCCUCACAUUGGCUCUACUCUACCCUAACAUUAACAGUAACCCUUACACUACCCUAACAUUAAUGCUAACCCCUACACUACCCUAACAUUAACACUAACCCCUACACUGCUCUAACAUUGGCUACUAACUCCUACACUGCUCUAACAUUGGCUACUAACCCCUACACUACCCUAACAUUAACCAUUAACUACCCUACACUUACACUAACCAUCGCCAGCUACACUACCCUAAUACUGUUAAUAUUUACACUGCCUUAAGACUAACCCAAUAACCUAAUUUAAAAAUAUCACAUAAUAUAAAAGAUACAUAGCAGCAAGUAUAUAAUCAUUUAUAAAUCCCUCAACCUUUCAUCUUGUAUCUGAUAUAAACAAUGUAACAUGUUUUUUGUUUUUUUUUAAGAAUCAGGUCUAUGAAGAUUAUACAAAGGAAUGUGUAAAGCUUCUUAACGUAUAUAUAGUAAUGAAAAUUACUGAGCGGGAGGUAGGUGGCCUUCCCUCUGCCUGUAUCCUUAGCUGUAAAUACCAUGAACUCUCCAUGAAUUUCCUGCACCCUGCUCUGGGAAUUGAAAUCGGUAUUAACUACAACACCAAGUCGUUUAUAUAAUUCUACUCUCUGUGAGCCCGACAUCAAGAUUGCUCAGACAUCUCAGCAGACACUGUAGAAUAGUAGGGUAAUGGAAACAAUUUAUGCAAAAUAAUUUAUUUUACAUACAUGACAGCUGGCUUCCUUUCUAUCCUGACAUGUCCUGCUUUCCACACGUAUGGAAUAAUAUAUAAUGUACAUUUUAAUUACCUCUCUAAGGUAAUGCGGUUUUGCAGAUUCCCGCACAUUAAUAUUACUAGGGUAAACAGUCGUCUCAAAAAAAAACAAGCCUGCUAAAACGUAUAUAACAUAACAUAUUUGAUUAAUAAUUUUACUACUAAAUUGAUUUAUGUAAAAAUUACACAUUUAAACUAUCAAUAAAUUUGGGCUUAAAAAUAAAUAAAUAAAUAAAUUAAAUAAGACAAUAAAAUAUGUUUAUUUUUAUCUUAUUUUGCUUUUCUCUCUUAUUUUGUCAAUGAUAAUAAUGUGUGUGCAUAAUAAUAGUUUUGUAAUCAUAGCUUAACGUUACAGAAUGUUAAUUAAAACUACAGCAAGAACUAUAUGGAAUUGUGUGAAAAACACUUUUGUUUAUAAAAAUAAAAUGUUAUUUGGAAAAUAAUGAAAUGAUGCAUGAAUUAAACCAUUAGGAAACAUGUGUAAUAAUGUGUUGUUUAAUUCUGAUUAUCAUGGGGAUUAAUUAAAAUGUCACCAGAUUCCCCCAUAUUUGGUUCUUUACAGCCGCAAAGCCAAUGUCCUAAACUUAUCACUAAAAAGCAUGUGAGUGCUUUGUUUUGUAAUGUCUUCAAAUUAAUGAAAUUAACAAAAACAGAAUUUAAUAAAGACAAAACGCACGUAUUGAUUCUUAUGGGGUUAUUUAUUUAAGGAAAAAUUCAAAAUAAACGUCAAAUGAAAGGCCAGAGUAGCUAAACUGAGAAUUCCAAUUCAGCUAAUUUGGUUUUAAAUUUGAAAUUUACUUUGAAUUCUCACCUUAGUGAAUAACCAUGUCUGUGUCCGUGCUCCUAGUUAUCAAAAAACAUGGAAAGAAUUUAAUAAAAAUUGGGUUUCACUCUCAUAUUCUGUUUAGGUGAAAGUGAAUCAACAUAAGUGAGUAUUAUUAAUAUCCAUUACAGUCUUUAUGGCCCACACAGAAUGAGCAAACCAUCUGGCUGUGUACAGAGCCGUUCAGACUACAAUGUGUUCCCCCCAGUGUGAGCUGCUGUGUUCCCUCCAGUGUGAGCUGCUGUGUUCCCCCAGUGUGAGCUGUUGUGUUCCCCCCAGUGUGAGCUGCUGUGUUCCCCUCAGUGUGAGCUGCUGUGUUCCCCCCAGUGUGAGCUGCUGUGUUCCCCCCAGUGUGAGCUGCUGUGUUCCCCCCAGUGUGAGCUGCUGUGUCCCCCCCAGUGUGAGCUGCUGUGUUUCCCUCCAGUGUGAGCUGCUGUGUUUCCCUCCAGUGUGAGCUGCUAUGUUCCCAAUGUGAGCUGCUGUGUCCCCCCCAGUGUGAGCUGCUGUGUUUCCCUCCAGUGUGAGCUGCUGUGUUUCCCUCCAGUGUGAGCUGCUAUGUUCCCAAUGUGAGCUGCUGUGUUCCCCCCAGUGUGAGCUGCUGUCACAUAUACCCUAUGAUUAAAUAUAUGUGGUGAAGAUAAAACAGACAAAAAACUCUUUAUUAAUAUUAUUAUUAUUAUUAUUUAAAUUUGAGUGGAUUUUGCUGAUUCCAUGACAUAUCUCAGUAACUAAUCAGUACACGUCUGACGAAGUCAGAAAAGAUCAUGAUUAAUGUGUUUAUUACUGGCUAAUCGGACUCUGCCUCCACCAUCAUUAAGGGUAUGUCAGGCGUGUGAGGAUGCUAAUCUUUCAUUAUUCUAUAAAGUGUGUUUCCAUUUAGAAGCAGAAUAUUCAAUUGCAGCUCCUAUUUCUAAGAUUCAUUCAAGUUUUCUCUGAUUUUUGCAAUGAAGGCAAACAAUGUAUAUUAGGGGGGUUUGAAAUAUGACGUAUCCCUUAUAUUUAACAAUAUAUAUUUGUGAGAUUACAAAAAAUAAUAAAUGUCUAAAUUUGCAUCUCUUUAUCUUGCAACCAUUUGCCUCCAAUCCCCUGUCAGCCAUUGUUAUAAACUGUGCCCUCUCCACCUAGCAGCCGGCAUACAGAAAGCAUUCAGAGAAUUUUUUUAAAAAAAAGUAGUUUAUCUUACUCAUUUGCAUUGUGUGCCCUGGCUGUGCCAGCACUGAGCUGGAUUGUGAUGUCAUUUGCUGAUGUUAAAUAUUUGAUAUAAAUCUAUAGGUGAUCUUAAACUAUGUAAUUUCCAGUUCAUCUUUAUCCAUAUUUUGUAGCACAUUACACAUUAGUGAAUCUGCAGGGAUAUAGUAUUCUAAAGGAGCUGGUAUAUGUCUUAGUAGCUUUUACCCCCACUGACUAUGUGCAUGCAUUAUUCAUGCCUGUGUUCAUUGUGGGUAUAUCUUAAAAGAGCUUACAAAAGCUGCACUCUUUUCAUGGGGAAAUAGCCCCAUUGAGAAGCCUCUGACGCUCUUCCUCUGCACAUGCACAUGCUUGUUCGUGCGUGUACCAUUGCCUGGGGAAUGCGCACUUACAGCAUUCCAAUCCGUGAAAGAGAAUGAGGUCUGAGAAGGAAUCAUGCAGGUGGGAGACAGUCACUCUCAAGUAGAGCAUGCCUGUCACUUCUGUUAGCUCGUGGGAGUUAAUGGAAGCAGGGAGAAUCAUCUCUGUCUGUUUGAUUGACAGCUAGGGGGUGUUUAAUUAAUUUUUAAAAGUGCUGAUUUCUCAUAGAACUUAGCACUUUUAUAAACUACCAUUAUAAAGGAACACUCCUCACCCAUGAAGAAAUUCAGCAAGCUGAAGCGCUUAUGGGUGGGGAGCCUUCCUUUAUAUAAUCCCCAGUUCAAUGAUGCCCAAAAGAUAUACAGUUGUGUCAAAUCGUCUAAGGAGAAAAGGCAGAGCCAAAUGAUUCUAUAAACCAUUGCUUGCAGCCUCGUAUUGCUCAGCAGUACUACACAAUGCAUGCUGACCAUGACCGGUAAUGAGGAAGUAAAACGUCUUCAUGAAACGUCUGAAGCUGAUGAACUAAGAUUAGGAUGCAGGUCAAUCCGAUGUCUGCAUUAGGAUGCAGCUGAUCCGUCAAUCUGCUGUCUGACAAUCACAACAAUAUAUGUUACGAUAACAUGUCCUGGUUUUGGCUCUUAGAAUAUCCCUUUAAACCUUUAAAAGUAUGGUCUGGGACAAAAAUAGCUUGAGGACAAACCAGUGUAAGUCAUAUCACUCACAUCUCACCAGGGAGUUUACAUAUCUUAAAUUAAAGAUUUUUUGUUUUUCUUUAUACCAUGACAGAUAACAUUUUUUGUUGGAUAUAUUUAUAAUAUUUUUUUUAUGUUUUGGAUCAACAUCAGCAUUAACUGAUGUAAACUAAUGUAUUAACUCUCUCCUAUCCAUCUGAAUGUAUGGCUCUAGAGGAAUCAUUUUAGUUGUUUUUGUUUUUGUUAACAAAGACUGUUUUCAAUUAUGUAUUUUUUUUGUUUAAAUCGGUGUCUUCGUGAUGGCUAUAUAUAGUGACCCACUCCACUUAAGAUCCUGAAAUUGGAGUUAGAACACUGAGACUCUGAGUCAAACCUUGAGGUUUUCGAGUAAUGAAUAGCAGUAACUUCAAGUUAUUUUAUCAGUAACUCAUCAGAAACACUGAAAUUGCUGAUUAUGGUACUGUUGGUUAUGUAGCAUUGCCAACUUGUCCUUCUAUAACUUUGUUGGUAUCUGCAACAAAUCACCAGAAUCCUUAUUUUUGGUCUGGAACAUUGCAUGUUCAUUUCUUUUUCAUGUUAGAACGCACAGAGAACGUAUUAUUUAAUAACAUAACAACUAAAUACCUGUGGAUCCUUGUUUAACAGAAAGUGGUGGGGAGGGGGGUGGGGGAAAACAAAUGAGUUACAAUAUAACAAAGUUUAAACACCAGGAUACAAUAUUUAGUUUAAAUUCCUUACUCUGUUUAUUAUUGAAGACUCUUUGUUGAGGGAGAAGGUAUUAAAGAAAUUACACUUUUCAAAAAUAAUAUUAAUUUUAAUAAUAAAAAUAAUAAUAACAAUAAUAAUGUCUGUAUUGUAGAGAUUUAGGGUUAGAAUUUAUGAGAUAGGAUAUACUUAUCUCAAGUAAUUAAAUAGCACUUUGUGUAUAGACUUAAAUUGGAGAACUGUCUCUAAAUUAAUCUAGUUUAUCAUAAGAUAUAUUGAUUUUAUAGUAUUAUUGCCUAACUCAUUCAUGUCUUUUGAUUGUUCUUCCAAUCUGGCAUUUCUUUGGUACCUUAUAGUCUCCUGUGAGAACCUUAUCGUAUCUCACUAUGCCCCGGGGUCACCCACAGAUUUCGCCCCUUGACAUUAGUAAUGUGGGUUCAUUUUCUGACUAUCCAUUCAGUUCAGGACUUGUCAUUUAUCAUAAAUGCAUGUGUUAUAUUUGUGAAUGUUGUGACACGAGUGAAUCACUGCCUUUCAAACACACGCAGAAACACUUUACCAGCUAAACUGAAUUAUUGAUUUCCCCAGGCGUGAAAAGAGUUGCCGUAAACAUAGGAACAAACAUGGAAUGAGGAAACACACUUUGUAUCAGUUGGCUCUAGGCAACAGACAAAAAUACAGUGGUUAACCAUUUCCAUACAGGAGAAAUACGCUGGAAUGUGCCACAGUACUAGGAUUACACAGUAUCAUUUUUAUAAAUGUAUUUAUUUCACAAACAUGAUCUAUUGUACUUUAGAGUACAUACCUCUUUAAAUUGUGAGAUUUGAAAAAGGAAAAAGAGGGUCGCAGGGCUGAAGAAGAGGUGUCUCUGAUGCAGUAAACAACUCUGAUUGUAAGUUGGGAGUUGGGAGUUGGGAGUUGUUAAUUGCCAAAAUGUAGUGAGUGCCAACUUGUGGGUAGCACAAAUGCAACCCACAGCCCUGCUUACAAACCCACUUGAUGAUGACUACGUGCAGAGAAACAUUGUAAAGCUCUAAUCCACAGAAAUAGAGGUACUUUUGUGAUGUGCAUUUUGGCUCAUUUUCUAUUCUUUUAAUCUAUCCUGUGUGGUCGGACACGGGAACACAAUUGGGACUCAACCUUUGAAACUGGGACAGCUGGGGCUAUGGUACAACUGGAACCAUCCUUUUACUAUGGCCUCCAUUUAAUAUUUUUAGCUACGCUUUUCAGAUGAUUUAAUAUUUUUUUUUAAAUAUUUUUUUAGAUAUCCUAUAUAUAUUAUAUAUUUUUUAUAUAUAUAUUUUGAUAUUUGGAGAAACUUUUUGAAAAGCCUAUCCAAAAAUAUUAAAGUGAAGCCUACAUUUUAGAACCUGUUGGAUUAUUGGUUAAGCUGGGUAUUAAUGUGAAUUGACAUUUUUUUAGACAUUGUAGAAUUUGAAAAUAUUUCUAACUCCAUUAAUUUAUCAGCACUACUAUUUUUGUGUAAAAUUAGCAAUUCUAUUUCUGUUUUCCUAAAUUCACUGUUUAGUUAAUUCUCUCACUGCUGUCGCUUACGCUGGAAAAGAGCAUAAAGAGAUGCUCGCAAUAAACCUGUGCAUGGCAGAAAAAUGUGUUUGGGUUGAACCGCUUCAUCCAAAAAUAAAAAUAAAAAUUGAAAAGACCGAUUUUUGACUGCCCUUCCUUUUUCUCCUCUAUUGGUUACUUCUCACCUGUUCUGUGACUCAUGUAGACAUCAAUCAUCUCUUUUUUUUUUGGACCACAGGUGGAACUUUUAGAAUUAUGAAUCAUAACAAACAUGCUCGCCCAUUGUAUGAUUAGUCAAUAUGGCAGUUUGGAAAUCAGGAAUUCAGCCGAUCACUUGAUCGGCCAAAUUUGUACAAAUUGUAGUUUGUUAUGAGUCCAGUUCCCAGUCCAAUAAAUGGACAAAAAAUGGAGGGAGGGGCGUGGCUUGGCGGUCCGAGAAAAUGGCAGCAUAAUCCUCGAGCUCCCCGCAGGCUCAGCUCAUAACCUCGGCUAAACUGCACCCUGACCGCGGUGAUGGGGAAAACCCACCGAGCCUCACAUGCCCAACGACCGGGGGAUGCCCCAAAGGGAACCCCGACCCCGACAAUGAAGCGCUACCUGCUCACAGACAUGGAUCCGCAGGCCUCAAAUGACUCCAUGGAGUCGGCCAUUUUCUCCCCACACUCCCCUACGAGAGAACAGACCCCCACUGCAGGGGAUACCGCAGUACCAGACCUGGUGGCCCUACUGAAGGACUUACCCACCAAGGCAGACCUCAGGACGGCCAACGCAGAACUGCGCACAUCGAUCACGACGGAACUCCACGCGCUGAGGGAAGACUUCCAAGGCCUCAACCAGCGAGUCGCUCAGAUCGAGGCGGACUGUGACCACAUGGCAGCAGCACAGGCUGCCAAUACCGACACGCUGCAGCACCACACUACAGUGAUGAGACAGAUGGCCCUGCAUAUAGAGGAUCUCGACAACAGGGGGAGAUGCCAGAAUAUCCGGGUGAGAGGGGUCCCAGAGGAAUUAGACAGUAAAGCCCCGGUACAGAGCACCUUGCUGGAGCUGUUUAACAGGCUCCUAGCUAGGCCGUCCCAGACGCACAUGGGCUUCGUUAGAGCCCACAGGGCCCUGAGGCCACAAGGACCCCCGGGCGGGCCCCCAAGAGAUCAUCUGCUGCAUGGAGAGUUUCCAGCUCAAGGAGGAGAUCCUGCGUAAGGCACGUGCCACAGAAAAGGUACUGCUAGACGGAUCAGAAAUCCAGCUAUACCCAGACCUGUCCCCAGCUACAUUGGCCUACCGGCGGGCCCUGAAGCCCCUUACCAGGCAGUUGCAGACCGCAAAUAUCAGGUACCGCUGGUGCUUCCCCACGGGCCUUCAAAUUGCAACACCCUCUGGCCCCUUCAUGGUCACGGGAGCAGAAGAUCUGGAGACGAUCCAACGUGAGCUGCACCUGUCGCCGGAGAAGCUUCUUUGGCCGAACCCGCUACGUUUCUACACAGAAGGCCCCAGGCCUCCAGGCACAGGCCCCAAACCCCGCAGGCUGCGGGCCCCCCGCACACAGACUACAAGACAGGCGGGGACACCAAAUUAGAUAAGCCGCCUGCCCUGCCGCCCCCCGGGACUAUGACCUCGUGAACCAUGCCAUGAACGGGAUGACUUGUUUUUUCUUGACGCCUUGAAACCUUACUGCACCAACCAAGAGACAUACAGCUGGGCUCUCACCUCCGGGCCCUAUGUUCGUGAGGAAGCGGAGGGGCCGUAGACUUCCACCCUUGAACCUGAUGACAACGCCCAUGCCGCAAGUAUUACCCCGGGAGGUGGGGGGGCAUGGGAGUACCGUGCUUCCCCACUGCCCGAGAACUUUGAGCCGAGCAGGGAGGGGGAGGAACCGGGGGACCCUACGCCGGAUAGAGUGACACUCCCUGCAUGGGUCGGGUACAGGGAGAAGGGGAUGGACGCUCUUGAGCCCUGGACCUUUAUGUAUAUGAAUAUGACCUAGGAGUAGUAGGCCCCGAGGUAUACACCCAGCCAACCCCCGUAGACACACCAAGAUACGUGGCCCCCAGGCAGGUUAUGCUGAGAUGCGCUGGGAGGGCUCUAGGCUACCACCACCUAGCCAUUCACGGGGGUCAGAGGAGCCCAUCGCACUGGAUCAAGCUUUUCUAACUUCCCUCGAACCUUUGCAUGGAGGGCUGGGCGAGGGCUUUAAGACAGGCCAUUGUAGGGUCACCCUGACACACAUCCGCAUGACUAGGGCGAUUAUCGCCCAAAUGGGAGGGAAUAGACCCAGACUGGGGCAUUUUCAUGUCACCUGGGGGCGGCGGGCAGGCAACUCAAUAUGGACUAACAACAUCACGUCACACCUGUGGGCCAGACGACCCACCGGCAGCGGUCAUGACACAGACCAUGCACACAUUAGCCUAUAGAGGUUUUCCAUAAGCUACAUUCCCAACUUGGAGAGCCAUGAGAUGGGGAGACGGGAUGUCCCGACUGGACGGAGCUCCGGGGCUCUUAGUGGAACGUGACGAUCUUUCUGGGAGCGUCCCGGGCCCGCGGGGCUCUGCCUACUUGGGGUUUCUUGGGCUCCUUUGCUACCCUAUUGGCCGGAGCGUUCAGACUUGGGUGCGCAGUGCACUCCCCCUACCUGAGGGAGGGGGGGACUCACUGCUCCCCCAACGCUCGAAUCCAUAACCCGCCGUAUACGGCGACACUAAUCCGUACCCGGUCCCUAGACCUAGAGGGUGCGAUCCUCCCCUUCUUUCCCUCAGACCUACCCAGUUUUCCCCCGAGUUUCCCCACCCCAUACUUUCUAUACCUGACUACAGGACGGACUUUUUAUACCUGACUAACGGACGGACGAACCUACGUCACCUCUGAGUGAUAGACUCAAAUCCAGCAUGUCCCUGCAACCGGCCCCCCUCACAAUAUUCACGCUGAACGCUAGGGGACUCAACACGCCAGAAAAAAGGGCCGGGGCUCAUAAGGAUUUCAGGGCGGCUCACGCCUCCAUAGUGUUUCUACAAGAGACCCACUUCCGGGCAGGCUCACGACCCACACUGACUAACCAACACUAUCCAAAAGGAUACUACAGCGACUUUCAGGGGGGUAAGUCACGGGGCACGGCGAUUCUCCUACAUAGACACCUCCCCUUCACAGAAACAGGGGUCCUGACAGACCCAGAGGGCCGCUUCCUAUUCCUCAAGGGGACGAUCGCGAACACAACAUAUACCUUUGCCAAUCUCUACGCCCCUAACCGCGGGCAAUAUAAAUUCCUGGCCAAGACGCUCCGCACACUUGUAGGCUUUCAAGAAGGCAUCUUGAUAAUAGGCGGAGACCUGAAUGUAACAUUGGACCCCAAAUGGGACUCCUCCUCAGGUCACUCACACAUUUCAUUGCAAUACCUUAUGGCCAUUAAAGCUCUCCUGACUAGAGCGAAAUUAGUGGACUGUUGGAGAGCAUUUCACCCUGACGAAAGGGACUUCACCUUCUACUCCCACCCCCAUAACUCCUACACCCGCAUAGACUAUCUCCUAGUUCCCAGUCACCACAUACCGUUGGUCCUACAGGCAGACCAGGGCACCGUGACAUGGUCAGAUCACGCACCGGUGACCAUUAAACUACACUCCCCCCUCCAUAGACCCAAGAUCUCCAAGUGGAGGUUAAAUGAAUCACUGCUCACUAACCCAACGGUCACAUCUGACAUUGGGAAGACACUGCGGGAUUACUUCACAAACAACACCUGCGAACAAACCCCCCCCACCAUACGCUGGGAGGCACACAAGUGUGUCAUAAGGGGGCAUUUUAUUCAAAAAAGCUCACUCCUGAAGAAACAGAGAGAGGCCCGCAUGGCCGCUCUGCUAUCAGAAAUAGAACAAGCAGACACACUUAACAAACAACACCAACUCCCCACACACCAGGCCAAACUCCUCCGCCUUAGGAGGGAACUGACCACUCUCCUCCACUCAACUUAUCAAAGGGACGCAUUACGAAACAGGGCCUUCUUUGCAAUACACGGAAACAAAAGCGGAAAACUUCUAGCGCGCAUGCUGGCCAAAAGGAGACAAGACACGUAUAUAGAUAGAAUCCGUGACAAGGCAGGGGUCCUACACAGACACCCGGCCAAGAUCCAAGAGAUUAUUCGCACAUACUAUGCGGAACUCUACUCCCUCCCACGCCCACACACAGACGCACAGUCACGCUCCCUACGGGCCUCAAUAGACGACUACCUACAGACCCAUAGGCUUCCCUCCCUGGAGGCGGACACGGCAGAUCAACUAGACGAACCAAUAUCCAUGGGGGAACUAGCACUCGCCAUCAAAUCCAUGAAACCGGGUAGGUGUCCAGGCCCCGAUGGCCUGCCUCUCAAAUAUUAUAAAAGCUAUGCCGAGACCCUGUAUCCCCCACUACUGGCCAUGUUCAACGCCAUCAGAGAGGGACAUGAAUUACCCACACAGGCACUCAUGACCCAUAUCACCAUAAUUCCGAAAGAGGGCAAGGACAGGGAGCACUGCGGGAGCUUCCGGCCCAUAUCCCUCAUAAACAAUGACAUUAAACUACUGGCCAAGGUCUUGGCGACCCGGCUUCAGGAGCACAUGCCCUCUCUGGUCCAUGCGGACCAGGUGGGGUUUGUGAUGGGCCGGGAAGCCAGAGAUGACACCAUCAGGGCCCUCACGAUUAUGCACAGAAAAUCAGGGGACGACACAGGCCUUCUCCUGCUAUCCACGGAUGCGGAGAAGGCCUUUGACAGGGUCUGUUGGGAGUAUAUGUUCCAGGCAUUGUCACACAUGGGAUGGGUUAGGGCCCUAUACACAUGGGAUGGGUUAGGGCAUUGUCACACUGUGUGGAUGGGUUAGGGCCCUAUACACUCACCCGACGGCGCAUGUGCUGGUCAACGGGGCACCCACAGAGGCGUUCCCGAUAUACAACGGCACGCGACAGGGGUGUCCAUUGUCCCCACUACUGUUCGUUCUGGCUUUAGAACCCCUACUAACCGCAAUCCGUCACCACCCAGACAUUAAGGGGGUACACAUAGGAGACACACACCAUAAGCUAGCCGCCUAUGCGGAUGACCUACUAUUCUUCAUAACCCACCCGGAAGUCUCCCUUCCCAACUUAGUGCAGGAGUUUCAGGCCUUUGGAGGGCUUUCGGGGUACAAGAUUAACUUCUCAAAGUCCUAUAUCUUAAAUUUAAGCAUCCCCGCAAGGAGAUCCGCACAGCUCCAACGGAGCUUCGCGUUCCAAUGGGCCACAGACAAAAUCCGAUACCUCGGCACUUGGCUGACCGUUAAGGAAUCGGAGUUAUUCACAGCGAACUUCGCUCCGAUACUAGCUAAGUUCCGUACAGACAUGAGGGACUGGGCCCUCCCGCACAUCUCCUGGCUGGGUAGAAUCCAAGUAAUAAAAAUGAACUUUCUACCGAGACUGCUCUACCUCUUCCAGGCCCUGCCCAUCACGAUCCCAUCCUCUUUUUUCGCCAAGCUCCGGCAGGCUCUAGGGGCUUUUGUUUGGGACGGGAGGAGACCCAGACUGAAAUACACACUGCUAACUCAACCCAAACACAAAGGGGGUCUGGCUCUACCGGACUUCCGACUAUACUACAAGGCAUGCCACCUGCAACGUGUUGCGGAGUGGUCCAAGACAGGGGUCAACAAACUAUGGAAACAGGCAGAGGAGGGGAUAGCUAAGCUCCCAGCCGCCCUUAUCCCGUGGCUCCCCGCGGGGACGGACGGAAGGGAAACGCAUUACUCCCCGUAUACGAAAGUAACUCUGAGGAUAUGGCGAGGCAAUGCCGGUAGACACGCGCUUUCCGCACACCCGUCCCCAUUGCUUCCCCUCACACAUAAUCCUGACUUCCCGCCGGGCACGGACCCUAGGGCACUGCAGGCCCUGGUGCAGGACCCAAUGCCAAGGCUGCACCAUGUGUGCUCCGGUCGGGGGCUGAGGACCUUGGCUGACUUAUGCGGGGGUCACACACAACCAUUAACAACCGACUUCCACUACGCACAGCUGAUGAGCUACAUAAAGACCCUGCCCCGCGCAGGAGCCAUUACUAGGGAACUCACCGCCUAUGAACAGAUAUGCGCGGACCCUGACCCAUUGCCACAUGGCAUCUCGCACCUCUACGCCCUCCUACAAACACUCACACCCAUGGCCGCACCACGCUUCAUGGGGAAAUGGGAAGAGGCCCUCAAUCACACACUUAGUGGGGCUGACUGGGAAAAGAUCUGUGAGGUCACCCACCAUUGCUCCAUUUUUAGCAAGAGUCAGGAGACAGCAUAUAAAAUACUCACGCAAUGGUACUGUACCCCAGACACGACUCAAUACACGCACGCUCACGGGUCAAGCCUAUGCUGGCGGUGCGCAAAGACAACAGGUACACCCCUACACACUUGGUGGGCAUGUGAACUCGUACAACCAUUUUGGAGGAAAAUUCAUAAAAUAGCUUCCCGCUUCACCGAUAACACACCACCAUUAGACCCGGCAGCAAUGCUGCUCCACCACACGACUAUACCAAUUUCUAAAUACAAAAAGUCCCUUACAAUUCGAAUUCUAAACAUGGCCAAGCAGACUAUACCACAAUACUGGAAGAAAACAGAGACUCCUUCCAUACUUAAAUGGUUUACGCACAUGGAAGAGCUACGAGCGGUAGAAGAGCUCGCCAUGUCAGCUACUGAAAAACAACAUCAGACAUACUUAGACAUCUGGACCCACUGGAUAUUGACCACGACGACGCAAGACUUCCUGACACUGCUCCAUACCUAAUGACAGGGAGUUACACCGGCUGGACAGACACAUGGACGACGGACAGACCCUCUUCCUCCUUCCCUAUGCUUACCUUACCCCCCACUUACCCUCCCAUAUACUAAAAUGGGGGAUACCACCCAACUGUCAAAAGUCCAACAGACAGGGGCAACAUACCCCCCAGUAUGUAUAUCCCCCUCUGACAUGGGACCUCUGCCCACUAUAUCACCACAGUCCGUCAAUGACUAAGGUCCUCAUUAGAUGUGACCUCUUGAGAACAUGUCAUGACUGGACCACAAUAGUCCCUCUCUCACAUAAGGAUAAUACAACUAUGUACACCUGAACACUAGAGGGGCAAUAGCGGGGAGGGCAGCAGACAGCAUAGAAGUAGGCAAAGAGCCCAGUCCAAGGGGCUGACAAAUUAGACGAAGAUGGAUGAUCUGCCCCAAACAACAGGGGAACGUGGGAUUAAUGAGAAUUCUCUGGGGGGGGGGGGGACUCUGUCUAAUUAAGCUUUACCGUUGACUUAAGGGACCUGUGAGUCCGACUUUGUUAUUGGGCCUGCGUGCCCGCCUUGUUGCAUGUUUUCCUUUCUGUUCUUUUUACUAAUACGCUGAAUACAACCUACAGACCUGCGUGUCUGCACAAUAAUUACCUAUUAUUCCCAAUUACAGGAAAUAAAAAUUAUAUUUACAAAAAAAAAAAAUGGAGGGAGCUAUUUUAAAAUGGGUAUCAAUAUUGUUUAGAGGGAAGCCAUGGUGAACUGCACCAAAAACAUUUUGAUGUCUCGUGGAUAUUGUAUUUUAUACAUUUAAGAAAUGGCUUUUUUUCAGAACUCCCAAAACUGCUGGUAGGAAUGAGUUUAUUUGAAAACAAUAAGAUAUUUUUCAAACAAUAUUCAGACCAAAAUGAUUCAUGUUCUUUCAGCAUCCACAAACAAAGUCAUUCUGGCUAAUCCUGCAUCUACAGAAUGCUUUGUGAACUUGCUCACCAGGCGGAACGUAGCCGUGUCUUGAAAAGGGUAUCAGUUUCCAUGGGGAGAUAAAAGGAUGCUGCACAAUAGUAAGGAAAUGGCUAACUAACAUCAGUCACGAUUAAAGUCUGAGAACACAUUAAAUUAUGUUGGCACAUAGCAUUAUUCUGCAGAAUACCGAGCAACCACAUGCAAAACAAGACGAGUAAUUCAGCAGUGGGGGGGGGGGAGGGGGGGACAUGAUAAGGUACAUAUCUUAUGUCCACCCCUCUCCAUUAUAUUUAAUUUUCCCUGUAUCUGUGAUCUGGCCUUCGCCUUCUCAAACUUUUAGUUUGUGAUAGAAAUAUAUUUGCUUAACAUUGGGAACAAAACUGUACUAAACAGUAAUAAUUAAAACUAGCAACUGGGCAUCUACUGCUGCCUACUCACUAACAAAGUCCUGAUUAUUAUUAUUAUUUUAUUAUUUAUAUAGCACCAGCAAAUUCCGUAGAGCUGUACAAUGGGUAUCCAAUCCAUGUGGAGGGAGCCUGUAAAACACCAGGUGGCACCUGUGUCAGCAUGUGGCCUUCAAAUUAAAUAAAAGGGUACAGGUCAAAAGCAUGUAAGACAACCAAUCAAAGAUGAAAUAUUUUUUAUUUGUCUCUCAUUUCUCAGUAGAUAUGUGCCCAUCCAUGGCAUAGCAAAUAGGGACAUGUCUACUAAAUAUAUGGGUUAAUUUCUCAGUAGAUAUGUGCCCAUCCAUGGCAUGGCAAAUAGGGACAUGUCUACUAAAUAGCAGACAUGCCCCAUAGGCUUUUUUAAUAUGGUGUCUGGCUAACGAGCUGGCCAGGCGUCACAUGAUUAACCCUUGUGCCACUAAGUUUUUUUUGUAACCAUUUGCCUGCUGGCUGCUACUGCUUCUGCUUCCAAUAGAUACAUUGUGAAGCUGGAUUCCCGAAGCAGCUGACACUUCUUGGCCAUUAGUCAUUUUGGUUGCUUCAGAAGUAGGCCAAUGGGCCAUUCAGAGAUUGUUGUUUUCGGCCACAUAGUCCAUCGGUUUCAAUUUGUCUACUCAAAAUUUCUCGAAGAUGUCAGAGCUGGUUCAUGUAUCAUUUCAUAUUUCUCAUUAAAACAUCUUUUUACAAGAGAGGAAGUUAUAUUCAGUUAUUUAUCUACCUCAUUUCAAAAAUGUUGUCCUUCUAUUCGGGUCCAAGAAGUGCUCUAAAAGCAUGGACACUCUGUCUGAGAGAAUGCUGAUCUCUCUACAUGUUUUGAUAUGAUUCUUUGCUGCCCAUGUGUGUAUCCGACAUGAUCAAGGAUAACUGAAAUGCUUUAUCCUUGCGAAUCUCUGAGAAAUGUUUUGAUGUUUGUAGAAAAGAAAAACAAUCUCCACUCUUAUUAAAGUCCCGUAAUCUUUAAUCUUUAAUACAGUUCAGUGAGAUUCACUUCCCUGCUGAUUUAUUACAUUCUCGUCCACCUUAUACUGAUUAUUUUUAUGGAAACUAAUUUAUAACGUAUCUUUUUCCAUGAUAUCGCCAAAACUUGUUAAAAAAAGAAAAUAAUAAUAAUAAUGUUUUUCAUAUGUAGAGAAAUAAGAACUACAAUAGUUUUAAAGAGGAGAAACGGCUAAAUUUAUAAAAGAGUAUAAACAGCUAAAAAUUAAUUUGGGAAGAUAAAUAAAACUUGGACUAUAAACAGAAAUUAAAUGUGAGCAAUCAAAAAUAUGUGUGAUACUGUUGCCCUACUAACGAAGUAUAGCAGAUACUACGUUUUGUUUACAUUUAGCAACAGGCAAGCAAUUUUUAUAUAGCAAAUUGUAAAUUUCAGAACUGUGUAUAUAAUUAUUCACUAGAACUAUUUCUCCUAUUUUAACUAAAAUAUUUUGACUAUUAUUUUUUUAGUUAUUCCUGCAGAGUACAUGCCCCUACAGGUGUCUAACAGAAGAACAAAACAAGUUAAUAUAAAAUAUUGUUUUUGAAAUUAUACUAUUAGUUAUUAAUAAUUUAAAUAUACGACAUAUCAGAAAGAGCAAUGUAUCUAUCACUUUAGCAAAACUUGGACUGCAUCGAUUGGGAUAUUAGUUUUAUGCUAUAAAUACUGAAAUAUUGAUCUGACCUGUUUUAUAUAAAAAAGAAAAACAAAAAACAAAAAAAACACAAAUAAUGGAAGAUAUUGCAGUCUAAGUUUGUAGAUAUUAUCCCUUUACCUUGCUCUGUGAUAAUAUAAGGGAAGUUAAAUGCCAACCAGACUGUCCAAGUCUUAAGUGACAUUUGUGAGCACCCGUAUAUUUAUAUUAGCGAGUUAGUACAGCACCUUUAGGUAUAUACAGUCAUGAAUACUUUAAUUUGGGAAACACAAAGGAAUAAAGCCACUUAUUAAGUUAGUAUUAAUUAAUUAAGUAGGUUGCCAAUUACUUUUAACCAUCUCUUGUCAUGAAUGAAACUACUGUGAAAUACUGAACUGAUACUAUCUAUCUUAAAGCUUUACUGGCCAAUGGCUUAUGAUAUGUGAAAAUUGGGUGAUCGGCUAUGAAAUCUCAGCCAUUUCCUUCUCCUUGCAAAAGCUGCUGAUUUGCAAAAUAAAAAAGUGAUAAUAAGUGCUAUGUGAUUUUUAGGAGUGCAUAUUUAAAUCUAACUUCCUACUUUGAAUAGUGUAUACAUAUAUAUUGAUAUGAUAUAGCACGGGACAUGCAUAAAGAAGAUUCCCAGAAUAAAACUAGUAUGCUUAGAUUAAUAUCACGAUAAAAUGAAAACAAUAAAAAUUUAAUGUUUUAAGAAAAAAAUCAUAAACAAACACAUAAGGUUCUUUUAAAUGGACAAAAGUCAGUAUACAAAAGAAAAUUACUCUACAUUGAGUAAAGUGCUUUUUAAUUAGGCUUUUGACAAGGUUCAUUUCAUUAUAAUCAUUCUAGUCGGAAGAGGAAAUGCCCUCAUACUGGUAUAGUAACUGCUUCCUUUGAUUGAUUGUUUUGUUUUUGUUUCCUUAGACCCCAUUUACCAUUUUCAUUCAGAGGGUUCCCAUUGUGCAUUACCUUGUACAUAUCAAUAAAGUCAGAACUGUACUAAGUAUUUACCAGUAAUGAUAAGUUCUACAUUUCAUUUGGAGAAAAGGCUACGAUCAUUCUGUCAAAAUCUUCUUUAUCGAUCAGUCACUUAGAGUCGUGUCUCUUCCAGUUACCUGUAUCCCGAACUCCUGUCUUCCUGUUCCUUAGCACCUCCUUUAGCUGUAAAGUGUUAAGGGUAACAUUAAAAAACCCGCUCGUAGUUAAUAAAUAAUGCACUAAAAUAGAUUGUAUAUUCUGCUCAUUUUAGUUUUCAUAAAAGUGUUUCAUGAGUUAUCGGGUGGAAUGUGUUUUGUGUCUCCUAUCACCCUAGUGUCAACGCAAAGUGUGAACCUCCUGCUUUCUUCUCAGGAGUAAAAACCCUACAAUUUACCCUUUGUUCUGUAUAGUUACCCAAGUGAAAAGGGUUGGCUACAUUUAUAAAAAAUUCAAUGAAAUGAUGUCUUACCUGGAGACUAGCAAUAAAAGCAGAAAUCUGGACCGAAGUCGCCAUGACUUGUGCGAAUGUUCAGGAAAUUUACACUUUCCUUUAGAAAAGGUUCAUGCCAAGCAGAUAGAAGUCAGAAGGUGGCGUUUGGUUUUCUAUACCAAUAUCAAUUUUGUGGAUGGGGUAUCACUUCCAAUACCUAAAUAUAUACAAGUAACUUCAAAACAGACUUGUCAUGUAACAUUUGAGUUAGGAUAUAGAACAUCCUGAGCCCUGGUCGGUGAACAAAUUAAUAUUAUGGAUUAAAAGUCUUGGUAGCCAGAAUCAUUAUAGGACCUAUACACCAUGGUAUAUCUGCUAACUAACUAGAGUAGGAGACAGCUAAGAUAAUAAAUCAAAAUUGUGCACCUCAUUAUUACUGAAAAAAAGUGACUACACUUGUGUGAAGUUUUUUGUUCCCAAGUUGUGUUGUCAGAGAAAUAAUUAUAAGUCAAGACAGUAUUUAUCCAUUGAUUUCCUCAUAUGUGAGUCUUCUUUUCUAUCCUGCUGAUUGCACAAUGCAUCAUACAUGAGAUUGAGAGGUCCUCCGUUCAGACUCAUCUCCGAAGGACAAAUCAAAACACUAAAAGUAACAUAUUGAUUUUCUACAAUGAUGAUAUAUUUCCACUCAUCCCAUCAUCAGUAUUACUUUACAAUGCUGGGGCGGUAACUCGGCAGUAAUUGUGUAAGGAAGUUAUGUAGAAUGUGCAGCUGGAACGGUUUGUAUUAAAGCAGGAGAUUAUGGUUUUGUAGCGAUGUAUGGCGAAUCAAACACUUCUUUUAACACACAUGAAAACAGGUGUCUUUACGCUGGAGUCUUAUUACAUGUCUGUAACACAAUAUAACAUUGGGAAGUCAUACUGUCUACUGCAUUUAGGAAUAACCCAACUUUCAUCUGGAAAAAAAUAAAUAGAUGUCCUAUUCACAUUAUAACCAUACUGGAUUCAGUAUACGCUGUAGUUAUGUGGGCACGGACGGCAAAAAUAUUAUUUGCUCUGUUUUAUUCAGUUUAUUGUUUAUAGGUUACAGAAGGAUGCGUUUACAGAGCUGUUUAAUACUCUGCUAAAACUGCCAAAACACAGAAUUGUUUUGUGAAGAAUUGCACCUUGAAGAGAUUGAAUGGUUUACUAAAGCUAGCAUCAUUUGUAUCUUAAAUUGCUUUAUUUGUGUUCACGGUGGCUACACAUAAGAAGAAAUAUUGCAAUCAGAAUAUUCUUCUGUGAUACGGCAUAUGAGUAGUUCAUUAAUAAGUAAAUAUAUACAAAUAUCAGAAUCUUUUGCACUUUCAGAAUUUAGUUAGCUAUGUCAUUACAAAGUACUUUUUGUUUUUAAAAUAAUCGCUUAACUUUUAUUUGGAACACGGGAUCCAUAGCUAACGCAUUACCAUAUAAUAUCACAGAUUCCUGAAAAUGAAUUAUUAAUAUGUAGGUGUAUACAGUUUUAUUUUGUUAAUUAUUUGUUCGUUCAUACAAGGAUGAUCUGUUCCAGAAAUAUUGUGGUGUUAUUUUAUUUUAUUUUUAUUUUUUUUAUUGAAGUUUCCACACACAAAAUACAUCUGGUUCAUAGUAUAGGAAAAAUGUAAGAAUAUAAUAGUAUAACAUCUUAAGGCAAUUGUGAGGCGGCAUAAGCGGCCAGUAUUAGGUAACAAACAUUUACAUACUAUAUAUUAUAUAGUGCUGCUAGGCAUUCUAGUGGUAAGAUAUAUAAUUACACUUAGUAUUGGCUCAUCUCAGCCUGGGCAGGGCAGAGGGUUAUAGCAUAAAACACAGCUGAAAGUAGGGUAAGGCAUAUUGAUCAACUGGAAACAUCCAACUUUAACAGCUUCAGUAACAGAAUAUGUAUAGGGUUGUUAGUUCCGAGGCCCUCUAUUUGUUCUGCCAUGUGACUAAGCUAUGCUCGGUGGAAGUUCAUGAUCCUGACUGUGAUCUGAGAGGUGGUCUGUGAAUCGCCACGGUGUGCUGGCCCUUAACUUCUGGGCUUUCACUAGGGUUGGUUCAGGCACCUUCAGCCUCUGGAGGAAAGGCUCUUGGUUCUCAGGCGAGGAUAGGGUGAGGACUCCAUCCCCGUCCAGGACCACAAGGGAGCUGUCGGUCCCCCAGCGAUAUUUAAUUGUUGCAUAAUCGCUGUUUGUGGCAAACAUAGCCACUUGGACAAUAUCAAUAGACUGUACCUUUAAGGGUUGCCUGUAUGUCGGUGGGGAUAUGUGUUUAACUAUGUAUAAUGUAUGCUGGCUGUAAUGACGUGUAUUUACUGUAUUGGCUAUCUGCCAAAUGCAGAUAGCUGUAUGUGCUGUAUUUUCUUUCGUUUCACGAACGGCACUUUUGUGGGCCGUUCGUGAACCGAAAUAACCACCAUGUAGUAGCCCACACACUUAGAGGCGGGUGGCGCUUGUUAACCGAUUGCAACAAUGUUGCAAUCGGUAAUUAAAGGCUCUCCUAGGUGGCCGCCGUUCGACUACCGACCAUGCGGCGGUCGGCCAUCUUGGAUCCUUUGUUCCCUCAGCGGUGUUUGGUCGUCGAGCGCAUGGUACUAAAAACGGCUACUCGAUGGCGCGAACACCGCUGAGCUUCUAGGCCAUUCAGUAUUAUGUUCACUAGACUUCAAUCGGUCUUUUGAAUAUACAUUUUAAUGAAGGUGUUUUUCGUGCGGCGUUCAGUUGUUUUAGCUGGGAUCUGAGCGGUAAUCUCACGAAUGAUGCACUCAGACCCCAGCUAUCUACCGAACGUCCAUUCGUACAAAUAGGCUGCAUAUUCGAAAAGUUAUGUAUUUUAAUAUAAAUUGUCAGUUCUGCUGCAUGGAGGGAUAAUCCACUUAACGGUACAUUCCUGUGGGAGGAUCCCUCUCGUGCAGCAGUGCCUGAUUGGAGAAAUGCCCUGUACAGUAAGUUCCCGAUGUAGUCCACUCUGGGAAUGCCCCUGGGAUGGGACUCAGGAAACCCCUUGCAUGGGGAAUUGUAUAAAUUGUGGAGCUGAAAAUAAAGACCUCAGUUGACUCUCAGAACUGUGUUUCGUCCGGUUACUGGGAGAUUUGGGAUAUUGCCUUGCUUUUCCCAGCGCUUGACUGUGGAUUACUUCCUGAACCAGCAGAAUUCGUGGAUUUAAUAUUGCCGUUCCGCUACACUGUUUGGCCACCAGUGCCAGCUGCCUCUUUGCUGCCAACACUGCAAACGGGAGGUCUCCGAAUAUGGCUAUGGCACUGCCUUCAACUUGGACAGUUCCCAGUUCUCUGCAUCUGGACAUGAUGGCAGACCAUACUGACACGUCUUUGGACACUGCAAUCACAUCUCUCGGUGCGUCCGUGGCUUUGUGGACUCUGAAUGCUGAUAGUAUUAAUCCUGGGUCUGUGCAGCCUCUGAUGCCCUUUGAGGCUAGGAGGUGCUGGAGAAAGGUAAGCAUUGCUUCACCUCCAAUUCGCUCUGGAAUUCCCUGGAGACAGAUGCUCCUCCUUCUGUGCCUGGACUCCAGUGCAGUCAUCGAUCGGGUAAGUCUCUAGACCUGUUCAUCGAGGUCCUGCAUGUGGUCUUGGGUAGUUUGCAGCCUCUGUUCCCUGGCCGCUCCUUUUGUUUCUACUUCGACCAUCCUCUAUUUAAAGUUCCACCAGCUCCAUGCGUGUUUCUGCAAGGUCCUCCUUCCACAUGUCUAGCAGGAGUUUCUUAAUGUCCCUCUUAGUUGCCGAAUCCUCGUCGGAUUCUGGGUCAUUUUAGGGGGUCCCCACCGAAGGUGAUGUAGGGGUCUCUUCUCCAUCUCGGGAUUCCCCUGAGGCCUCUUUAUCGCUAUGCGGUUCAGGCGCCAUCUUAGGGAGGACCCAUGGGGUAAGCCUAUCGAAUGAGAGGUGGUGAUAAAAUUUUAAAGGUUAUAUAAUAUUAUCAUCUUGCAACUUAUCAGAGAAAGCCUGAAAUAUUGGCUUUGAAGCAGAAAUGCAAUUUCGGCACCUGCUGAAGGUGUAACAAAAUGCAUUAAUAUAAAUUGGAAUGCACUAAAGGGUCCUCAGAACAGAAACCAAGAUAGGGCACAGUAAAUGGGGCCAAAGGAGUUUAAAAACUAUUAUGUGAGCGUGAUGUGAAUCCCCCUGUGCAUUUUUAAGAAUGUGUACUGAUUGGGCAGCAUGAAUGGUUAUUUAGUUCGGUGCGUGCGGCCCGUUCGGAAGUUUGCGUUCGUUUCAUGUAUGUUGAUCAUUACACUGAUAACGACUAUUAGCAAAACACCUGGUAGUAUAUUUACAAUUCAAUUCCCUAAAACAAUAACUUGUCUAUGUAGAUAUAAUGCCCACAAAAUAUAUAAGAGCAGAUACACUAUUGUACUAUGCAGGGCUUUGCAAGCUACUAAGCAGCCAGUAAACAUUUUCUAUACUUCAAUCACUGUAUUUUGGGUCCACCCUCCUCUCCAAUCUAUAGCUGGUUGAAUAUUGCAAAAAUGUCAUCAGAUUUGUGGGAGGAUCAAACAGUGUAUAUUUCAUUCCUUCUGCAAGGAUACAUAGGUAAGACAGGCACCCUGGCAGAGGAGUACAGUCUCUACAGGGUUAAAUACAAUUCUGGAUAAAAGAGGAAGGAAAAUUGUUCUUAAUGGGCUAAGUUCCAUUUUGCAUUGCUUUGUAACUUGAUGAUUUAUAUUAUUGGGUGGCAGUAAGUUAACAGCCAUAUAAAAUGUCUGUAGACUAGAUUAUUUUGCUAAGCGCCUGAUGUGUUCACAGUUUUUUUGUAUGUAAUGCUUUAAAGAAUAGUAAAUUCUUCAAAGUUCCAGAUUAAACUUCAAAUGAGUUGCAGUAGUUUAUUCAUAUGUUGUGAAUUAUACACCAAAUUUAGAAUCCAUCCAGGUUCCAUCUGAAAGAUAAACUGAAUGUUAGAAACGAAUAAUUACCUGUUGGAUCAUGGAUAAAUGAAAUGCUAUCUUUGUAUCUAAAGCAGAAAUUACAGACAUUAAAGUAAAAACGGUAAUCUGUGAGGUUUGCACAAUGCAAGCACUGAUCAUUUUGGUUGGCCUAUUAGUUAAUAUUGCAUAAGGAUAAACGGAAUCGUUCCUGGUUUUAGGUUGUUUUUUUCCGUACCCGAUCAAGGACCAUUUAUAGAUAAUUUAUUUUCUAGAUUUAAUUCCUAUAUUUUAUUCUAUAGAUAACUAGAAACUAAACCCUUUUAAUAAACGGUUUCUUGGUUGCAAACUGGAACUAGCCAUGGACUCCUGUCUGUCUUCUAGCACCAAAAAUAAUAAUAAUCAAGAUUAAGUAAUUACCCAAUUACCCUACUUUCUGUCAACACCAAUUUGGACUAUUAUUUUCAAAGGUCAAUAAAAUCAUUACCAUUAGUUCAGUAAUAAUACUAUUAAACUCCAGGAAAUAAUUGGGAACUAGUGCUUACCUAAUUGUACCAUUGCAAGUUAAAUAUUUUGGUAUUUUUAUUAUCAUUUUACCCGUCCAGAACUCAAAAUUGCAGUUUCAACAGUUACUAUACAUAGAUUGCAUUGCUACUGUGUAUUAACACGUUUAAACAUAAAAAUAUCAAAACUUUAAAAAGACCCUUUGUGGUCGAAACAUUGCUGAAGCACCUGGAACCCUUCUAAUCUUCAAAAACUAUUAUCUGAGGUUUGGCCUACCUCGAGUCCGGCUGCACACUGGUUAUCAAAGGAGUGUGGUGUCACUCUGCUUCAUCUCAGUUGAUCAAUAUCAAUUCUGAGCAUUUUUGGCAUCUGACACCAGCAUGCACAACAAAGAUUAAAUGUCAGCAUGUACUAUACGUGUUGCCAAUGUCCUGCCCACGUCCUGCCCUCAGCCUGUCCUCCCUGAGACCUCUCGGCCACAUGCUAGCUGGGGAGAAAAGGGCUGCAGGGUGAAUUAUUUUGGGGGGUGGAUAAUUUAGGAUGGACUACUCUGACCAAAGACUGUGUUUUCUUAAAACACUAUUUUUGGGGGUUUGAGUAACCCUUUAAAUCUAGUUUUGGUCAAGAACAAAAUGUCCAAAAUAAGUGCGAUUUACUGUGUCUAACAGUUAAAUUCUCAAGAAGAGGCUAUUUUUAGGGCUCAUCAUGAAAAUGUAAGCUUGCAGAAUUCAGCAUACUGUUAUUGAUUAUUUCUGAACAGAAUGUGGAACAAUUCCAAGCCCCUGAUCUAUUUAGGCUGAGUAUACAAAUCAAACUUCCAUGAUAAAUGAAUUGUAAAGAUCAAAAUGGCAAUUGUUUAAUAGUUUUACUUUAACCCCUUAAGGACUGGACUGUUUUUGCGAUGUUGUACAUUUGCGACCAGGAAUAUUUUUACACUUUUGUGGUGUUUGUGUUUGGCUGUAAUUUUCCGUUUUCUCAUUUACUGUUCCCAUACAAAUUAUAUAUUGUUUUUUUCAGGACAAAAGGGGCUUUCUUUACAUACCAUUAUUUAUAUAAUCUCAUGUAUUUUAAUUUAAAAAAAAUAAAAAAAUCUGAUGAAAAAUUGAAAAAAUACAUGUUUUUUGACUUUUACUUGAAAAAUCUUUUACUCAUCUACAAAAGCGAAUGAAAAAACUGCUAAAUAGAUUCAAAAUUUUGUCCUGAGUUUAAAAAUACCUAGUGUUUACGUGCUUUUUUGCUUUUUUUUGCAUGUUAUAGGGCUAUAGGUAUAAGUAGGAUAUUGCGGUUUCAAAACAUACAUUUUUUAAAUUUAUCAAUAGUGACAUUGUAACACUAUUAUCUGUCAUAAAUCUCUGAAUAACACCCACAUGUACAUAUUUUUUUUAAAGUAGACAACCCAGGGUAUUCAAUAUGGGGUAUGUCCAGUCUUUUUUAGUAGCCACUUAGUCGAAAACACUGGCCAAAGUAAGCAUUCAUAUUUGUUUGUGUGUGAAAAAGUAAAAAAACUAAAUUGAACGCUAAUUUUGGCCAGUGUUUGUGACCAAGUGGUUACUAAAAAAGACUGGACAUACCCCAUUUGCAAUACCUUGGGUUGUCUUCUUUUGCAAAUGGUAUGCCAUCAUGGGGGUAAUUCUCAUUCCUGGGCUACCAUACGCUCUCAAAGGCAGCGUAACCAACCUGGCCAUUUUCAAUGUAAAAAUAUUUGACCCAUAUAUUUGACCUUGCAACUUUCAAAAAUACUAUAAAACCUGUACAUGGGGGGUACUGUUUUACUCAGGAGACUUUGCUGAACACAAAUAUUAGUGUUUAAAAACUGGAAAACGUAUCACAACAAUUAUAUCAGUAAAAGUGCUGUUUGUGUGUGAAAAAUGCAAAAAAAGUAACUUUCACUGACAAUAUCAUCGCUGUGAUAUGUUUUACUGUUUUGAAUCACUAAUAUUUGUGUUCAGCGAAGUCUCCCGAGUAAAACAGUACCCCCCAUGUACAGGUUUUAGGGUGUCGUAGAACGUUACAGGGUAAAAUACAGUGCUAGCAAAUUAAAUUCUCUGGAAUUUCGGCCUGGGUUGGCAGGCAGGUCCUCAAAUUGCAAUCAAUAAAAUUACUGAAUUAUGUAAAAAUAUUACAUAAAUACGCACGUAGAAUUUAAAUAUAUAUGCAUAUUUAUAUAUUUGAAGUCUAUGUGUAUAUUUAUAUAAUUAUUUAUGUAAUUUUGUAUAUGGACGUAUGUAUAUUUCUUAUUAUUUUUAUUUAUUUUAUAUACAUAGAUAUAUAUAUACAAAUUCAUUCUAAGUGUAUUUUGAUAUAAAUAUAUAUAUAUUAAUUUUAAAAUACAGUUAGAAUAAAAUUUCAUAUAGCUAUAUAAUUUUUUUAAAUUUUUUAUUAUUAUUUAAAAAAUUUUUUAUUUAAUUUAAAUUACUUAUUAUUUAUAUUUUAUAAUAAUAUAUAUAUACAAUAUAUAUCGUUAUUAUAUAUAUUAUAUAUAUACGUGUGUAAUUUAAUUAUAAGUGUAUUUUUAUAUUAAUAUAAGUACAUAUUAAUAUAAAAAUACACUUAGUAUGGCAUUAUAUAUAUGAUAUAUAGACAUAUAUUCUAUAGGUAUAAUAUAUGUCUAUAUAUCAUAUAUACACAUAUAUAAUUAUUUUUAUUUUUUUUAUUAACACUAACUUUAAUUUAUUUUUUGAUUUUACACUAGCAGGGAGACUGCCUGUCAGCACAGGCAGUCCCCCUGCAGGCAGAUACAUGGACACCUAUUGUGACCAUGUGAUCGCUGUGUUAAGCGAUCACAUGGCCACAGGGGUCCUAAUCUGCCGUGGGGAGACUGUCUGGGCUGCAGGCAGUCUCCCCACAACCGGUGGAACACUGAUCGCCGCCGGGGGAACGACGGCGAUCAGGUAAGUACCCCCAGACCGUUAGGACGGUUCAGGACCGUCAUCGGUCGGCAAGGCAAAAAUGCCGAUGACGGUCCUGAACCGUCCUCGGUCCUUAAGGGGUUAAGGGCUAUUUGCUUUCUUUAUUCUGUAGGUUGUUGCUGGUAGACAUUCUUUUCAUUUGGAUACAAUCACAUUACAAAAUAGCUUUUUCAUUAAAACUAGACUCUGUAAUUACAGUCUGGAAAAACGCGUGUCCCGCUAUUACCAUGCCUCACGUGUUAUUAUAGAACAGAAGGGAUUAGUUACAUAAUAUGCCAAAAUAUUCUUAACGUUCCACUGGGUGAUUUUUGGACUCUUUCUGUGGUUAUCUCAGAAGACGUUGCAAUUAUGAAAACAAUAAGAUCAAUUAUUGUUUUAUUUUUGGACGUAAAGAACAUUUUUACAACUUGAGCUGUUCCCUUACUGUUCGACAUCUGAAGAUGCUUUUGUUACGUGUGUUUAAACAGAGUCUACAGCAUCUACGGUAAUAGAUUUGGGUUUGAUGGCAUUGCAGAAGAUUUUUUUAGUCGACUGACGAGAUAUGACUAGAACUAUUUAAAAUGUAAAAAACAUCUGGUACGUGGGUGUGCUAAUGCCAAAAAUCCCCCAGUCUGGCUGUCUUGUUAAAGCCAGUAAAAGUGAUUUUGGAAUCACAGUAUCAAUAAAUAUAGAUGGGUGGAACAUGUAGAAAUUAGCCUGUUUUCACCUUCCAGAGGAGUUACAGAAAAACAUCUAAAAUUCACGUCAGCGAUUUUUAGUUUUCUCCGUAAAUUAUUGAAAUUUUGCAAAAAAAAUGCUAACAUUGUCAAAAUAUACAAUUUCCUACACAAUGCUCUUUACUUUCAAGAUUUGUCAAUAAACUGCUAAAGCUCAAGAAUUCAAAGAUAAUGUCAAAUUUAAGUUAAAAAAGCCAAAUUAUAAGUUCAGUCAGCAAUGUAUUCAGCUCAGCUAUUUUGGCUGAAAAUUGAAAUUUUUUUUAAUUUAUUAAAAAUACAUAGUUUAGUAAAAUACCCUGAAUGUCUGAAAUACAUUUGCAAAUAACAGAAAACAGGAGUUUUAAGAAAUGAAACACUGUUUCCCAAAAUGAAAUGAUGUAUACAGAGAAACAGAGGCAUGUUAUGAUUUUCUUUCACUGCAGGGAGAAAACCGGCUUUUGAAGGAGUAACUAGGGUUUAUCAGAUAAUGUUAUUUUACAUCGAUUUACAUUUGCAAAAAUAAAGAUAGCAGAAGUGUAUACACAUAGUUAGGAGGGAAUAGUUUAAUGUGGGAUCCACGUGAACAUGAUCUGUUUUCGUCUUUUAGGUGAGUUCUAGCAAAACACAUCAAAAUAUGCCAGUAAUUCAGGGGGAGAUUGUGUUCCCCACAAAUCUCCCCCUGAAUACAUAGUGAAGGAAGAUGGCAGAGUCAUUUAUGGCUACUUUCUUGGUCGCCAGAGGUCUUGAGACCACCAUUCAUUCAUUCAUCUAUAGGGUUUUGUUUUUUUAACACAACCGAUAUGCCUAUUUUAUUAUUUUAUAAUGCAAAAAUAGAAAAAGGUACAGGCACUAUUUUUGCAUUAUCGAGUAUUUGGUACCUGGUACUGGCACCGGCCUAGCCGCACCCAGAUACAUAUUGUAUGGGGAUUGAGUGCAUUUCUACACCCCUGUUUCCAGGUCAUAUUUAAUUAUUUUAGAUUUUAGUUCAAGAAUUGCUUGUGAAUAAGGUCUCCAGCAAUUACUGUUGCUUUCGCCUCAGUUUGUGUAGAAAUUGUCACAAUUUGUAGAUAAUGUGAUCUUUGCUACAAAUUCAGUUUAGCUUUUUGUUUUUAGUUUUUAGCGUUAGUUUUUUACAAUCUGCAUGACACCAAUGUUUCUUUUAAUUAAAGGUUCAGAGUUGCCCCAAAUAUCAGGGGCCGAAUCUGGUUCUAUAAGUAGAAACCAUAAUUUAUGGUUUGAACUUUAUCAGAACAAGUAGUGCAUAGGAUAUCUGAAAGACAUAUGUAGGAGUUCAAAUCGUAAUUUCUUCCCCAAUCCAUCCUUAAAGGAGAAAUGGGAGAAUGGGAUUACCCAUUCUGUAAUAUAGAAUCAGUUUAUUGUAUCAGAGAAACAGCUGUCCUUUCCUGACCUGAAUUUUGGAUUCCUGUUUCUUCAAACAUGUUUUUAUCUUUUACUAACUAGUUAUUGAGUUAGACAUAGAACGGUUAGCGUUGAAUAUAUCACUAGAGAUGUGCACGGGGAAAUAAAAAUUGGUUUGUUUUGAUUAAUUAAUUUUAAAGUGUUAGUUCAUCCGAAAUUCGUGAAAUAUUGAUUUGGUCAACCUGAAUUUAGUCCAAAAAUUAAAAUUUUUCAAAAUGUGGAUGCUCAUUGUUACCUAUGGGGAGUGAAUGAAAGUGUGCAGUCACAAAGUAACAAAGCUCCAAUUUAGGGAGUUAUCUGCUAAACUGCUGAAAUAUCAAAAUUAAGAAAAUCGGUUUUCUUAAUAUUAAUCCUUCCGCUGUUUAGUACAUAAUCUCCCUUAAAAGCUCUUCUUUCAGUUACAUGUCAUGGAGGAAAAAAAUAGACUUGGAGAUGUUUUGGUCCAAACGGCUUUUUGUCCGAAUUUGGGUCGGGUAAUCAGUGAGUGAUUCUGAAUCGUGUCUGUGGAACCAUAAAAAGAUUUGGGGAAAAAGAUCAUUGAUGCCUAGGGGUCAGUCACUAAAUGAUUUUAUUCACAGGUAAAGUGAGAAGUGACCAAUAGGGAGGAAAACGGGAGGAGCAGUAAAAACAAUCUAUAUGUAUGUAUUUAUAUAUAAUAUAUUUAUUAAAUAUUAAUGAUAUAAAUAUAUAAAUACAGGCUUAUUUUUUCCCCCAUCUUCUUUUUCUUUCUUCUCUACUGAUUACUUUUUCUUAUUCUUCAUCUGUGGUCCAAAUGGCUGCCACAUGCUUUUAUCAGUGUACUGAAUAAUAUAUACAGAAUAAAUAAUGUAUUUAUAUAAUGUACAUAUUUUACAGUACACUGACUGGCCCAUAUUCAUGCCCUUUUAGUUCAUGUGAUGAUUUUUUUUUCACUUGGGUUUUUGGUACCAAAAUUCUGCUGAACCAAACUGAAAUAUGGCCGAUGUCUCAAAAUAUUUUCUAUUUUUGAGAAAAACGGUUUGGCCAAAGCACUUUUUUUUAUUUGCUAUACCUCUAAGUCUCGAAAAAAAAGGAAUAAAAAAAGAAGACACCUGUUCAUUAACCUUUUUUCCUAAAAAUAAUGAUGAAGGUGAAAAAUGUAUUUUUUUUUUUGUAUUUAUCCUUUAGGUUGAGAAACUCCACCCAAUCUCCAAUUAGGAGAUCACAUCUGCACAUAAUGGGAGCUUAUUAAGGCAUUCGUAUUGUUUGGAAGUAAUUACCCUACAUUUUCUAUAAUUACCAUAUCUAUAAAACAUGUUACCUUUUUAUCUCUGUUCUGCAGUAAUAGAGGAAUAGCUAUCUUAGUUAACUGCCAUUAUCCUUUCUAUUCUACACAGUGGAAAUGUAUCAGACAAAAGUGCUUUCAUUCACAAUCCAAACAAUAAGAAUAUUCUCUUCAUAUGGGAAGUCACAAAAAAAAAAAGUAAUUAAACACAGAACAAGUUUCUAAAAUUAUGUUAACAUAUAUCAGAGCACGUUUCAUAAUACUUUUAAAUAGUUUAUCAUCAGUGCCCUUUAAUGUCUAAUUAUUACUUUGCUCUGCUAUUCUUAACUCAUCUCUUUUUACAUCAAUUGUUUACAUCGAUUUUUUUUAUUUACAGUAUGCGCUUACAAGUCUGUAUAUUUGCAUUAACCCUUGCAUUGCCAACUGCACCUACUACUGUUAAAAAAAAAAGAAAGAAAUUAACACAUGAAACAUAGGACACAAAUUCAGUACAACACAGCAAUUUUGUGUAUAAACUGCAGUUCAUGAAAAUCUUAAAGGAGCGCUAUAGUGUCAAGAACACAAACAUGUAUUCCUGACACUAUAGUUCUAAAACCACCGUUUAGGUGGUCAGCCCCCAUUACCUCAGGUUAGAAAAGUGAUUUACUCACCUUUUUUCCAGUGCCACGCGGGGCUGCUCACAUCCUCCCCUGAUCUGCCUCCUUGGCUGUCAUCAUUAAAAUUGAUGAUCUCAGCCAAUCACAAGGCUAUCCCACAGGAAAGAAUUGGAUUGGCUGAGAUCGUCAAGUCUGAUGAUCUCAGCCAAGAAGAUGGGGAGGGGGUGGAUCCAAAUACAGCCCUGGCCAAUCAGCAUCUCCUCAUCUCCUUAUACAGUGUGCAGCACUAACCGAGGAAGCUCCUCCAGUGGCCUUAUGAGGAGUGGCCACUAGAGGUGUGCUUAGGCUGUAAACACUGUCUUUUUUCUGAAAAGGCACUGCUCACAUUAAAAGCCUGCAUGGACAGGCUAUAUUUGCUAGGACAACUACAUUAAACUGCAGUUGUUCUGGUGACUACAGUGUAUUUUAAAAAUAAAUAAAAUGUGAUUUUACAAAAUUUUACAUUUUAAAAAUGUUUCCAUGUAUUUAUAGAAAUAUGGGAGAGGAAGUAAUUCAUUUUUCGAAUCUAUAUUGCUAGUUCUGUAAAGAAGCACAAAUAGGCUCAAUGUUGCAUAUGUAGUAAAUAAAUAAAAUAUAUAAAAUACCACAUUUAUGGGUAUUUGCAAAGCACCUGAUGGAAUAUUUUCCCACUCUGGAAGAAGUGAAAGUCUUUUGUGCUGUUAUCAUAAUUCCAGUAUUGUAACCUUUGCACAGAAACGCUCCAUUCUGACAUUCUUUUCUUAGAACCUAAAACUUCCUGAGAAAAGAACUUGUUGUCACAGCAUGUCCAAGAAUCCCCGCUAUAAAUGUCCGUUCUUCUACGAUCUCAGAAGAAAUACGGAGGUCCUGAGAGACUUAACUUUUGUUUUUAGAUUUUCAGUCAUAAACUGUCUUUUAGUUUUUGAGAAAAGUUUAAAAUUCAGGAACACAUGUACCCAUCAGGCAGUUAUACCAUAGAUUGUCACACUGGUACUUCAAUUGCAAGCACGUCACAGAUGCAAAAUGUUAAAUGCCGGUUCUAGGCUCUACUAAGCCCUCUCUGAUGUACUGCUUUAUACAUAAAUAUAUAGAUAUUUUAUGAUUACACACAGAACAUUUUAAAACAUUUAACUCUCACAAACAGAGUUUUCUACCAUCAUGCCUUACAGGGUAGUUAUAUUAAAUUGAUGACUUUUAGUAAGAUUACGGAUAGAUGUCUGCUGGUACUCUAAAGAUAAAUAUAUAUUUGGCACGUCCGUCUAUUGAUUGGGAAAAUUGGUGCCCCUAUACUAAUAAAAAGAAUGUUCCAUAUACUCCAAUUGAUCAGUUAAAUUCAAAUUGCAUAAAGUUCUAAAAAAGUGUCUUAUGUUAAACCCAUCAUUGAAAAACAAAACAGUUUCAUUAUAGUUCCAUUUAAAUUUGUCCUCUUGCAAAUUACAGGAGCCAAAGUACAGGGCUGCAUUUUAGCUUGUUUGCAGAAUGUAAUACCAUAAAUGCCUUUUUAGCCAGGCUGCUGUACUUACUGUAUAAAGAUUUAGCCUUAAUGCCAACAUAUAGACAUUAUGUUUAUAUAUUUCUGACAUUUUGGUGAGCUUUUUUUAGACCUGUAUUUCUUUUAUCUGCUUUUACACCUAAUGUAUGUGACAAAAUAAUGUAUUUUUGUUACUAUGCUAGUGUCUCAGAUGUUUUCGCACAUGUUGUAUGACAAGGCACGAAAUAUACUUUCUAAAAUCUCUUAUCCCUUUCACUAUUUACAUAAUUGAAUUUUUUUUGUUUUAUCCAUGAGCUAUUCAUCCACAUUUUGAAAUAAACAAUAUGCCUUUUUUUUAAGCAAAAGGAAUUCAAUAUCAAGGGAUUUAUUUGGCAAAUUCGCUGGCUUAAAUAGGUUGCUUUAGACAGAUGUGGACAAAUGUAUAUGUACCCUUCUACUUUUUUUUUAGGAAAUAUAACAAUUUUCUCUGCAUUAAGUACAAAUUGACAAACGUAUUUGGUAUCUACCAUUCUUUAUUUAAAAUGUAAUAGAACAGAAACUUCACGUUUGAUUUAGGUUUUCGCAUAUUGCUUUUAACAGUAAAACAAAUGAAAAUGGAAUGGACAAAAAUAGUGGUACGCUCAACAACCUUUGGAGACAAUAACUGCAAUCAAGCACUUUCUGUAGCUCCAUAUAAUAUAUCUACAUUUUUUUAAUGGGAUUGUGGUCCAUUGUUCUUGAGUUUCUUCAAGUUUCAUGGGAACCUUAUCCCAGCUGCGUGUCCCGGCUCUUUCCACAGAUGUUCGAUGGGAUUCAGACCUAGACUUCUAGAAAGCCACGUUUUAACAGGCCAAUGUUGUAUCCGUUCUUGGGUGCUUUUUGAGGUAUAUUUUGGGUCAUUAUUUUGCUGCAGUACCCAAUAUUUGUGACUGAGACACAGCUGUCUGACACUGGAAACGAUGUCUUGCUCCAGGAAGUCGUCUGAUUUCAUUGUGCCCAGAUUCUAGGCAUCCAGUGCCAGAGGCAACAAAGCAACCCCAUCACUGAGCCUCCUCCAUGUUUGUUUCAUUGUAGGGAUGGUUUAAUAUCCCAUAAACAUGGAGUUUUUAAGAUUUGUCAAAAAGUUCUACUUUUCUUUCAUCCGUCCAAACAACAGACUUCUUUCUCCCAGAAGGACUGUGGCUUGUCAACGUGCAUUUUGGUAAAUUCCAGUCAGAGUUCAGAGCAAAUGGUGCAUUACAGUAUUUUAUUAAAAGGCAAAGGUACCAAAUACGGGUAUUAAUACUUUCAGCUACAUCUGUUUCUUCCAUCAUAAACUACAUUUCUAUUGUUUACUGUAUAUUUGUAUUUUCUCCUUAAAUUUAUCUCAUUUUCCAUUUUACCGAAUGCUGUUAGUACUUUUUAUAUUCUUGGAAUCAUAUCCAUAUUCUAAGAAUUUAUACCCAAUGGUCAAUUGCUUCUCGGAAUGUCACAUGUGCAAAAAAAUAUAAAUGUCUUGAAUACAUUAUUCCCACAGAAUACUUGUUUCUGAGACACCUAAGGCCAAACCACAGUAAACAUUAUGGAUUGUCCUCAAAGUUAAAUGUUUAAAGAGAAAUCAUUCGGUACGCGAAUCACUGUCAUGUUUAUUUAUUCUGUACUAUUUUCCCUUUUUCUUUUUUUUCUCUCCCUUUUCCUUUUUGUUUUUGUUUCUGUUUUAUGAACCAAGAUGUGAAAACAAAUAAAUCUGGAUGUGUUUUAUUUUGCGGUUUCUCUGGUUUUAAAGUGUUUCCAAGCAUUAUCCCAAUUUUCCAUAAAACAAUACAAUGUAGCAUUAAGAACGUUUUUUUGAUGAAAAUUGAAGGAAGCAGAUCUUUUCAGGAACUUUAGUUUGAUGGCAGAUAUUUGAUUUUUCCAGAAUGUUUUUUUCACAUUUCUUUAGCAAACAGUUGCACAACACACGUGGCGUCUAUUCAGUCUAAGCACCAUAAGCACGUUGCAUUACAGGUAAGAGCAUUAUGCUUAGAGCAUCCUGAGCCCAGUUCUGAAUUCUGGGUUGUCGCAUCUCAAUUUUGGAUCUCUCUUGCUCCACUCUGGAGCAGUGUGCAACUUUUCCAAUACCAAAUAACAGCAUGGUUCAUUAAAAUGUCAACCAGUUUGUGUAUAAACUGAUAGCAGCAUCAGUACAAAUCAGUUAAUAGGUCAUUUUAAUCAUUUUAUGUAAAGACUGGGACUGUGGGAGGGAUAAAAACCCCUGCUGAAUAGGAGUGUUUAGGAUAAGGUCACUUCUCUCAGACUAGAAUAAGUGGCUGAUUGGAGUGUCUUAACCUAACGAGGAACAGGUCUACCUGCAGGUGCUGGAGUGUCUUAACCUAACAAGGAACAUGUCUACCUGCAGGUGCAGACACACUAAGCACUGCUCCAAGAUUAUGUAAAUGUAUUUAUUUAUUUAUAUUUUUCAAUAUUUUAAGGCAUUUAAUGCAUUUACCCGGACUAACCAUUUUAGUAAAAAAAUGUUUUAAAAAAAAAACCAGAAAAAAUGCAUAACACUUCUUUAGGUAAGUAUAGAGUGACUUGUGGAUGGAUGGGUGGAUGAGACAGACAGACAUACAUACAUACUAGCCUCAAAGGCAAUCCCAUGCAUUCUCAAAGUCAGUAGUAGUUUCAUUCACCUGUAUUACAGCCGCCGCUUCCAGUGAAAAUAAUCCUCGUUUUGUCUACACGAUACAGUGUGUAACGCAUGCAGUAACUAACUUUCCUUCCCAGCAAUGUGUUUGUGUUCCUUGUAAUAUAGUGAUUGCACAGAAACACUGUAACAUAGUGAAGCAAGACACAAUCUCACUCUGAAAAAGGAAACAUUCUAAUACAUUGUGCCUCGACACAAUUUUGUUUUCAGGCUUGGGAUCCCCACUGAGUUCUGAAAAUGCUAAGGUUAUUUACUAAACUGUGAAUUGUCAGGAAGUGUACGUGAAAAUAGCCAAAGUGUUUUCUACUUAUAUCAAUAUUUGUGGUGGCAAUCACAACUAAUAUGUUUACUUCUGAGCCUAAAACUCAAAAUUGUCCACGUAUUGAUAUAUAAUUUAAGUAUAAAACAUAUAAUAUAUUUGAUCCAAAUUCAAGGUAAAUGAAGGCAUGAUAAAAAAAAGUUAGACAUCGUUCAUAAUCUUUUUUUAGAUGAGAGGGAAGCAUGCGGCAGAGUCCUCUAUACUGUAUAUUAUUAUCCUUCACGUAGGUAGUACCGACAUAACAGAAUGUAUAGAAUUUGCGUUGCGUUACACUGGUUUUACAAUCAGACCUCUGUAACUGUGAAGGGUUUUCAAACUAAAAUUAUAAAUGGACUGGCACUAAUCCUGUGAGACUCUGCUGACAACCGUGAUUAAAUCUUCUAAGCGGAAUAUGGAAUCCAGUGUAGCUACUGUAUGGCACAUGUCGAAAUCGUAUUCCGAGCCGGAAUGCUUGAGGAGCGUGACAUCUGACUAGUAUUCAAAUUAAAAAUGGACAACUGAAUUCUCCAGGUUCAACUCUCUGCUGUGCUAAGUGAAAAACAAAGUUGCUUUGUACUUAUCUAACAUGGAAAAUGUUGCAAACUCUGGCUAAAUAUGUAAGCAAAACAUCUUACAAAAGUGUAACUGUCACAUAGAAUAUAACAAUUUCAGCAUAAUUAGAAAUAUUUCUCUGAUAUUUUUCCCCCGUGAAUGUUUUAUUGGAUUUUCAAUUUUUUGGGGGAUUUUAGUACAAACACUGUGCUAAUAACUACUAAAGGAAAAGCAAUCAACAUUGCACGGAAGUACAUUUUAGCUUCAACAAGUGUAAAAGUAAAUUGUAUUUCUCCAAUUUAAUCACAUGGGACACUGUUGAGGACUAUUAUUCAGUCAGUAUCAUGCAUGCACUGCCAUCUUUAAUCUUAAACUUCUUCAAAUCUGAGAGUGUGGUUAUAAAAGCAGCUCAGCUGUUCAGGUAGUAUCGGGGGGUGUGGGGAGCUGCAGCGAGUGUGCUGCACAGGUAGUGUGUGUUAUAGGAGGUGUGGGGAGCUGCAGUGAGUAUGCUGCUCAGGUAGUGUGGGUUAUAGGAGGUGUGGGGAGCUGCAGUGAGUGUGCUGCUCAAGUAGUGUGGGUUAUAGGAGGUGUGGGGAGCUGAGUGCCCAUGCAGCUCAGGUAGUGUGUGUUAUAGGAGGUGUGGGGAGCUGCAGUGAGUGUGUGUUAUAGGAGGUGUGGGGAGCUGCAGUGAGUGUGGGUUAUAGGAGGUGUGGGGAGCUGCAGUGAGUGUGGGUUAUAGGAGGUGUGGGGAGCUGCAGCGAGUGUGCUGAUCAGGUAGUGUGUGUUAUAGGAGGUGUAGGGAGCUGCAGUGAGGGUGCUGCUCAGGUAGUGUGUUAUAGGAGGUGUGGGGAGCUGCAGUGAGUGUGCUGCUCAUAUAGUGUGUGUUAUAGGAGGUGUGGGAGCUGCAGUGAGUGUGCUGCUUAUAUAGUGUGUGUUAUAGGAGGUGUGGGGAGCUGCAGUGACUGUGCUGCACAGGUAGUGUGUGUCAUAGGAGGUGUGGGGAGCUGCACUGAGCAUGCUGCUCAGGAAGUGUGUGUUAUAGGAGGUGUGGGAGCUGCAGUGAGUGUGCUGCUCAGGUAGUGUGUGUUAUAGGAGGUGUGGGAGCUGCAGUGAGCAUGUUGCUCAGGUAGUGUGUGUUAUAGGAGGUGUGUGGAGCAGGAAUGAGAAUUAUUUUAUGCAGAUGCCCGGCUUUUUGUGAUGUAUUUAUCCUUCAGAUUCAUGGCAUACAUCUCCACAGUCUAUGACUGACAUUAACAUUAAUUUAUUGUUAUAUAACCCACUGGGAAUCUAACUGGAAUUGUUCUACUUAUAGAGCAUAGUUUGGGAUAAGGAAUGGGAAUAGUUUUUACGUGCGUAUUCCAAAUGAAAAAUUGUGAUUUACCCUCAUAGCCGGAUGUUUAUAGGACCGAAUACGGCAAUUUUAACGUUUGAUUUGGUGUCUUCGGAAUUGUUCCAAAUACCAGUGUAACAGUUCCUUGUAUUCUCCAGUAUUUCAAAAAUACUUGUUUUAUAACCCAAAAUAAAGAAAAAGUUAAAAAGCUUAGUGGUUUUAGAAUAAAUGAUAGUUUUUCCCUUAGUGGGAGGACAGCAUAGUUUGUUGUUUAUUGCAAUGCUUCCGGUUCAAAUACUUUAAAUUUAAAUUUGAAAUUAAUUUUGAAUUCUGGACAAUCCUCCCUUUAAAUAAGCCUGUAAUUGUCCGUGUGCAUGUCUACUCUCUAGAGCUCGCCCCAUCCAUUCGGAAUAGUGAAUGACCAUAGUAUAUUAAAAUAAAGUGUUUAUUUAUUUUUUUAUUCACGGUAUACUUGUCGAUUUGUUUUUGGCCACAUUUUUGAAUUCUCAAGCCAAGAUGUACUCAAAGUAAAGACGAGCAAUGCCGAGCGGUUUCAGGUGUUUAGGGUGAUUCUGGAUUCCAUGCGUCCUGACAAAGAUGACUGAUGGAAAAAAUAUAUAAUUAAUGGGGGACAGUCACUUCCCCCAUCACAGAUCAAGUGAGAAAUGAUGAAAAGAUAGGAAAAAAGGAUUAACAGUAUCAAAAAAACUAUAUUAAUAUUUAUAUUAAACACAUAUAUAACUUGCUUUCGCUCUGUUUAUUUACUUUAUCUGUAAGCCAAACAGUGGAGAAAUGAUCCUAUCAUUGUACUGGGAACACUAUCCAUAGAAUUUAUAUUAUGUUAACAAUUUGGAGCCUACUGAUUGGCCCAUAUUUGUACCAAUUUUUUGCUCUGAUUCAGAUUCUGAAUCAAAAUCUUGGUUCCAAAAUUCUGACGAAAUGAGUGUGUCUCUAGUUUUGGAAAAAAGGUUUGGCUGAGCCAAAUCUUCUUCGUGGCACAUUAUAGGUGGUGUUGUGUCAUGUUAUUAAUAAUUUUAAACUGGAUAGAUAACAGCCACCUACCUGACAUUCGAACACAUAUUGUCUCACCACAAAAAAGCCAUUUAAUGUUAAACUCCAUACGCAAUGUUUUUUCAUUCUUGAAGUCUGUUCUUAAUUAGCUCAAGUGAUGAAAAGCAACAUACAUUUUGUUGAAUGCAGAAAUGAGAUUUAAGAAAAAUGCCAUCAAGCCAAUAUAGAGACUAUUUUCUAACUACCAAUCAGUCAUUUUUAACUAAUGCCGCAUGUUUUAAGAAAUAAAAACAUCUCAGAGAGAGGAAACAAGUUUAUAAAAACCCUUAAUUAAUGUAUAAAUAUUUACUGCAGAUGUAGAGCCAAAAAAACAUUGUGCAUCAAAAAUCGAUUUGUUAAAAUUUCAAUUCAAAACAAAUUUACAGAAAUAUUUUAGGGACAUGGAAGCUUUUAUGUCAUACAACAGAAAUAUUGGUGGUGCAAAAGCUAAAUUGUUUGCUCUGACCAACAAAGGUACGAUGUGCACCCUGUUAUGAUUUUUUAAAUACUUUUGUGUAGUUCUUGUAAUACCCCAGGAGCUCUGUAGCUAAAAAAACAACCUAAUAUCAAUACAAAGAUAAAAUGUAACUGAACACAUUGUUUUCUUUGACGGGCAUUAAAGAAAGGGUUCUUUUAUAAUAGCAUUUCUGGUAUUUAUUUUAAAAAAGAGCAGGUUGGUAUGUGCUACAAGCCAACCCUGCCCAGAUAACUGACAAAGAAACUCCAAGUGUGUAUUGUGUUUCAUUCUUUUCUUUCAUAUUAACCUACAUUUAACUCUCGAUUUUUGUGGCAGUCACAUAGCUGGAAUUUAUUAAAAGGCACAUGAUGUUCACAUAUUCUCUUCAACGAGAUACACUGAUUAUUGUUAUUAUUAUUUAUAUAGCGCCAACAAAUUCCGCAGCGCUUUACAGUGAGUGGACUAACAAACAUGUAGUUGUAACCAGACAAGUCUGAUGCACAGAAACAGAGGGGUUGAGGGUCCUGCUCAAUGAGCUUACAUGCUAGAGGGAGUGGGGUAAAGGGACACAAAAGGUAAGGGGAGUAAUCACUGAUCAGCCACAAUAUUAAAACCACCUGCUUAAUAUUGUGUAGGUCCACCUCAUGCUUCCAAAACAGCUCUCAUGCGUUGAGGUGUGUCCUGUGGUAUGUGGCACCGAGAAAUUAGUAGCAGAUCCUUUAAGUCCUGUGUCUUCAUGGAUUGGUUAUGUUGUUCCAGCACAUCGGACAGAUGCUCAAUUGUAUUGAGAUCUGGGAAAAUUGGAGGCCAAGUCAACACCUUGAACUCUUUGUCAUGUUCUUCAAACCCUUCCAGAACAAAUUUUGCUGUGUGGAAGGGUCCAUUAUCCUGCUGAAAGAGGCCACUGUCAUCAGUGUUGCUGUGAAGGGGUGUACAUGGUCUGCAUUAAUCUCUAGGUAGAUGGUACUUGUCAAAGUAAUAUACACAUAUGCCAAAAUCCAAGGUUUACCAGCAGAACAUUGUGCACCCUCCAGCCAUCUCUUCUCCAGCUAAAUGAAACACACAUGGCCAUGCACCUGAUGUAAAACUCCAUGGUCCAGUUCUGAUGCUCACAUACCCAUUGAAGUUGCUUUCAGGUGGACAAGGGUCAUCACUGGCACUAUGACUGGUCUCUGCGGCUGCACAGCUCCAUACACGGCAAACUGUGAUGCACUGUGUGUUUUCAAACCUUUCUGUCGCUGCCAGCUUUAGAUUUUCAGCAAUUUGAGCUACAGUAGCUCAUCUAUGUGAUUGCACCAGGUGAGCUAACCUUGCUUCCCACAUGUAUGAACCUUCUGCCAGCUCACCAGUUGUCCUUCCUUGCGCCACUUUUUGUAGGUACUAACCACUGCAUACUGGGAACACACACAAGACUUGCUAUUUUGGAAAUGCUCUGACCCAGUCGUCUAAUCAUCACUAUUUGGCCCUUGUCAAAGUCACUCAGAUCUUUACUCUUGUCUAUUUUUUCCUGGUUCAAACACAUAAAAUUCAAGAACUGACUGUUCACUUGCUGUCUGUUGUAUCCCACCCCUCGACAGGUGCAUUUGUAAAGCUAUAAUUAGUGUUAUUCAUUUUCACCAGUUUUAAUAUUGUGUCUGAUCAGUGUACCUUUGUACAUAGUUCCCAAUGUUAGAAAUGGUCAGAGAGUGACGAUUGUAUCAUGCAAGGCAUUAUUGGAGUGAUGAGCAGUGAAAAGAGUAUUGCCAAGAUAUUUAAGAUGACUACAUGAUCAAUUAUAGCCAUUUAUGUCACUCUAGGGAUAAUUUAGCACUUGACAUAAAUAUUGUUUUAUAAAUACUAAUUUCCAAGCUCAUUUAGUGACACAUUUUUUGUCAUCCUGUGGUGCAUUCUGACCAAUAAUGUAGGAAGUAGGGUUAAAUGAUGUCAACAGGUAAAAGACCUUCGUUGAUGGAGAUUUUCUCUCCUUGCAGAUUACACUUGAGUAUAAUUUCCCAGUUGAAUUAAUAAUGACCCGCAAUAAGGCAAUCUCUUCUGUUUGUAGGCUUUUGGUAUCUCUGCUUAGGCACUGAUUGGAAUUAUUGCUGUCUUCUUCAUAGCUUAUAUAUGUAGGUAAAGGUAACUUAGUCACGCACAUGAUACAAAACUUAGUCACACUCUGAUAAAUCGCCAAUGAGUAUGGUGGAGGGUCAUUGGCUGAUCAAAAAUCCCUUUACAUUAUAUAUAAAUAAUUACUCAUAGGUUCAUAUGUAACAACCGAGCUGCCUAAAUCUAUUUGAUGAAAGGAAGGGGAAGAAUUAUAUGUGGGAAUAGUUCCAAAAUUAUAAAUUGUCCAAGAACAUCUGCAGGGUGAUAAUGGACAGCCCUGCUAUCAACCCUCCCCAACCUGUUUUAUAGCAGUCAACAACGGUGAAUAGACACAUAAUAUAUUUAACCCUGCAUCAGAUCUGACCGUUGGAUGGUUGGGUAAUUGUCCUAUCUCCUUCAGACAUUUCUCCAAUCUUUUAGGUUGUCAUAAAAAUAUCUGUUGUCCUCGCAAUAUAGUUUUGAAUCCUGUUUCCACAUAGUUAUUUUACUUGACUGACUCCAAGGGUCUACAGUACUGCUGAUGUUCAAUUAACAAAAUAUUUUUGUUUUAGAGUUUAAAAAAAAUGAAAAUAAAACCUCUGCUUGUGAGUCUUACCAGUUUAAGUGCUACAAAGCCCUUGGAACAGACUGUGAAAUCUAAAGAGGUGGUUUAUUUUCUGAGUCUACCGUAAAUAAGAAAAAAUGUGUUCCUAACUAAUUUACUAACCUCCUAAUCAAGCACCAUAGUACUAUAUGCCUCCGUCCAAAUUAAAUCUGAAGUGGGUAGCCCCCAGCAGCGCAGUUACCCAGGAUGCACUGUGGGAAGAUAACGCUGGAUAGUUUAGGAGGUAACAUUGACUAAAUUGGGUUCAUAAACACUUUGGCUUCUCCAAGUUUUUAGAUUAACAUUCCUUUUUAGAUCAACCAAGUUCUACAUAAACUCCAUAUUUAUUGUAAUUAUAAAGAAGCACUUUACCGGACAUAUAAAGAGGUGAUGGAUGGACAUCCGGAAUGCAUCUGACGUUUGUGUUAAACUUUCUGUAACUAUGUCCUUUAUAUGUAACCAAUAAUUCUGUAACCUGUGUCUUUCUCUGUAGAUAAUUCUUCACUGCACAUGCUCAGAAAACCUAUCUCUGACCGCUCUUCUUGAAAAAUAUUGUGAAGCCAUGUCUGUAGUCUACAAUGGCACAGGUACGUA